GGGAGAGAGAGGCUGCAAUCUCCUCCCUGAAUCGCGCACGGCGCUGCAGAUCCCGGAGCUCCGACACGCGGGCCGAAUGCAGGUGAGGGAAGGCACGGACUCUGCGGCUGCGAACCCAAACUUGGGCACCGCGCGGUGCGCACGCUUCAGCCCUCGCCUCCACCGGCCAGAGGCUGCUGCGGUUUCAGGCGGAGGCUUCGUGACUAAUGACCUUGCGCAGAGUUGUUAGAAAAGAGAAAGCCGAGGAGCUCUCGCGGGGGAGAAGCGACCGACUCUGGGCGUCUGUCUCUGAAGAUGGUUCGGGCUUCUCUCCUGCGCGCCGGGGGGACCCGGACGCGGACCGCGCGGUGACGCGAGUAGUCUUCCCCGCACUGUGCCCGGAGCGACCUGCCAGAUAUUUUUUUUUUUUUUUUUUUUUUUCAUUCUUGUUCUGCUGACUGACUGCCCGGCUGCCUAGAGGAGUGAGAGUUGAGACUGGCUUGCUGCUGACCACAGAGCCUCGUGCUGGAAGAGGCUCACGUUUUGCCUGGGCAUCCGUAGCUGGAGCGGAGACCGGAUCUUAGAGUGAGCGGCUGGAACGGGACCGGACUCAACUCGAGUAGCAGCGGCGACUGGCGGGGCUGGCAAGCGGAGGACACUGCAGGCUCGCUCCCCGCCGCUCCCAGCUCCUCCGGCCGCCGGCAGAAGCGGUUCUGGCCCGCUCCGACCGAGAGGGGACGCAGCCAGGGUUCCUCCUCCGGCUGCGGGGAUGACUUUCAGGGGGCGGGGGGCGCCGAGCCCGCGGCGCGCAGUGUCCCGUGAACUGUGAGUACUGCGACUGAACGGCGGCCGGCGAGCGGGCGAUUAGCACCCAUUGCAUGAAUUAUGAAACAAUAACUUUCGGAAGAAGCAGGAGAAAAAAAAAAAAAAAAACAACGAUCUAUUGCUGCACCCCCCACCUCAUCCGCCGACUCUACACGCUGCUCCUGCCCCCUCCCUCCCCGCUCCCCUCCUGAUUCUUCCGUUCCCGGGGAGGAGAGAGCACUGGGGGAGGGCAGGUGGCCAGCCCUGGAGGAGGGGGCGCCGAGGGCGCAGUGGUCAGAAGGAGCAGUAGCAGCAGCAGCAGGAGAAGAUGCUGAGGAUGCGGACGGCGGGAUGGGCGCGCGGCUGGUGCUUGGGCUGCUGCCUCCUCCUGCCGCUCUGGCUUAGCCUGGCGGCCUCCAAGCAACUCCUCCGGUACCGGCUAGCCGAGGAGGGCCCCGCCGACGUCCGGAUCGGCAACGUCGCCUCGGACCUGGGCAUCGUGACCGGCUCCGGUGAGGUGACUUUCAGCCUGGAGUCAGGCUCUGAGUACCUGAAGAUCGACAACCUCACCGGCGAGCUGAGCACCAGCGAGCGGCGCAUCGACCGCGAGAAGCUCCCCCAGUGUCAGAUGAUCUUCGACGAGAACGAGUGCUUCCUGGACUUCGAGGUGUCGGUGAUCGGGCCCUCGCAGAGCUGGGUGGACCUGUUUGAGGGUCGGGUCAUCGUGCUGGACAUCAACGACAACACGCCCACCUUCCCGUCGCCCGUGCUCACGCUCACAGUGGAGGAGAACCGGCCUGUGGGCACGCUCUACCUGCUGCCCACCGCCACCGACCGUGACUUCGGCCGCAACGGCAUCGAGCGCUACGAACUGCUGCAGGAGCCCGGGGGCGGCGGCGGCGGCGAGGGCCGGCGCUCCUUGCCGGCCGACAGCGCCCCCUACCCCGGGGGCGGCGGGAACGGCGCUGGCGGCGGCGGCGGCGGCCCGGGAGGCUCCAAGCGGCGUCCAGACGCUCCGGAGGGCGGCGGCGGGAGCAGCCCCGGCGGGCGCAGCAGCGUGUUCGAGCUGCAGGUGGCGGACACCCCGGACGGCGAGAAGCAACCGCAGCUGAUCGUGAAGGGGGCGCUGGACCGCGAGCAGCGAGACUCCUACGAGCUGACCCUUCGGGUGCGCGACGGCGGCGACCCCCCGCGAUCCUCGCAGGCUAUCUUGCGGGUGCUCAUCACCGACGUGAAUGACAACAGCCCCCGCUUUGAGAAGAGCGUCUACGAGGCCGACCUGGCUGAGAACAGCGCCCCGGGGACCCCCAUUCUGCAGCUGCGCGCCGCGGACCUGGACGUGGGGGUCAAUGGGCAGAUCGAGUACGUGUUCGGGGCGGCCACCGAGUCGGUGAGGCGGCUCCUGCGCCUGGACGAGACCUCCGGCUGGCUCAGUGUCUUACACCGCAUUGACCGCGAGGAAGUGAACCAGCUGCGCUUCACGGUCAUGGCCCGCGACCGCGGGCAGCCCCCCAAGACCGACAAGGCCACUGUGGUCCUCAACAUCAAGGAUGAGAACGACAACGUGCCUUCCAUUGAAAUCCGCAAGAUCGGGCGCAUCCCGCUGAAGGACGGGGUGGCCAACGUGGCCGAGGACGUCCUGGUCGACACCCCCAUCGCCUUGGUGCAAGUGUCCGACCGAGACCAAGGGGAGAACGGCGUGGUCACCUGCACCGUGGUGGGCGAUGUCCCUUUCCAGCUCAAGCCGGCCAGCGACACAGAGGGCGACCAGAACAAGAAAAAGUACUUCCUGCACACCUCGGCGCCUCUAGACUAUGAGACCACCCGGGAGUUCAACGUGGUCAUAGUGGCGGUGGACUCGGGCAGCCCCAGCCUUUCCAGCAACAAUUCCUUAGUUGUCAAAGUGGGAGACACUAACGACAACCCUCCCGUCUUUGGCCAGUCAGUGGUGGAGGUGUACUUCCCUGAGAACAACAUUCCGGGGGAGAGAGUAGCUACUGUGCUGGCCACAGACGCUGACAGCGGGAAAAAUGCAGAGAUCGCUUACUCGCUGGACUCUGCGGUGAUGGGGAUCUUUGCUAUUGAUCCCGAUUCUGGGGACAUCCUUGUAAAUACUGUGCUGGACCGCGAGCAGACAGACAGGUAUGAGUUUAAAGUUAAUGCCAAAGACAAAGGCAUCCCUGUGCUACAGGGCAGCACCACAGUAAUUGUGCAGGUGGCUGAUAAGAAUGACAAUGACCCUAAGUUUAUGCAGGACAUCUUUACCUUUUAUGUGAAAGAAAACUUGCAACCCAACAGCCCAGUGGGAAUGGUUACCGUGAUGGAUGCUGACAAAGGACGGAAUGCAGAGAUGAGCCUCUAUAUUGAGGAGAACAGUAAUAUUUUUUCCAUUGAAAACGACACAGGGACGAUUUAUUCCACAAUGUCUUUUGACCGGGAACAUCAGACCACCUACACUUUCAGGGUCAAGGCUGUGGAUGGUGGGGAUCCUCCCAGAUCUGCCACUGCCACUGUCUCGCUCUUUGUGAUGGAUGAAAAUGACAACGCUCCCACAGUUACCCUUCCCAGAAAUAUUUCUUACACCUUGCUGCCACCUUCGAGUAAUGUCAGGACAGUUGUAGCUACAGUGUUGGCAACAGACAGUGAUGAUGGCAUCAAUGCAGACCUGAACUACAGCAUUGUGGGAGGGAAUCCCUUCAAGCUGUUUGAGAUUGAUUCCACCAGUGGUGUGGUUUCCUUAGUGGGAAAACUUACCCAUAAGCAUUAUGGCUUGCACAGGUUGGUGGUACAAGUGAAUGACAGUGGGCAGCCUUCCCAGUCCACCACCGCUCUGGUGCAUGUGUUUGUCAAUGAAAGUGUUUCUAAUGCAACUGUGAUUGACUCCCAGAUAGCCAGAAGUCUGCAUACCCCACUCACCCAGGAUAUAGCUGGUGACCCAAGCUAUGAAAUCAGCAAACAGAGGCUCAGUAUUGUCAUCGGGGUGGUUGCUGGCAUUAUGACAGUGAUCCUAAUCAUUUUAAUUGUUGUGAUGGCAAGGUACUGCAGGUCCAAAAAUAAAAAUGGCUAUGAGGCUGGCAAAAAAGACCAUGAAGACUUUUUUACACCCCAGCAGCAUGACAAAUCUAAAAAGCCUAAAAAGGACAAGAAAAACAAAAAAUCAAAGCAGCCACUCUACAGCAGCAUUGUCACUGUAGAAGCUUCUAAGCCAAAUGGACAGAGGUAUGAUAGUGUCAAUGAGAAGCUGUCGGACAGUCCAAGCAUGGGCAGAUACCGAUCUGUGAAUGGGGGGCCUGGCAGUCCUGACCUGGCAAGGCAUUACAAAUCUAGUUCCCCAUUGCCUACUGUCCAGCUGCACCCCCAGUCACCCACUGCAGGAAAAAAACACCAGGCUGUACAAGAUCUACCGCCAGCCAACACAUUUGUGGGAGCAGGAGACAACAUUUCAAUUGGAUCAGAUCACUGCUCUGAGUACAGCUGUCAAACCAAUAACAAGUACAGCAAACAGAUGCGUCUACAUCCAUACAUUACUGUGUUUGGCUGAAUUCCACUCUAAUAAGAUGCUCCAUUUUGACCAUACUGAUGACCUUGCUGCUCCGAAACCUGCUGGGGCCCUUGGCCGUGGGGUGUCAGCCAAUCACUACUUCUUCCAUUUGUUGUACAAUUUAUUUUCAAAAUUUUUUUCUUAUUUAAGGAAAAUUAGUACGCAAAUAAAUAAAUCUAUAGAAGAAACAGUAUCGAUACAGAAGUGCUCUACUAAUGAAUGUCUAAAUCACCAGUUCCAUCCUCAAGGAGAUGGUUAGCACCUAUUAGAUUGAAUAAUGAAGUCAUUAGGAGAAAAAUCCAAAACUGCAUUUCAACAGUAAUUUUAAGAACUUGGCUGUGUGUGAUCUAAAGAAAAUUAGGGCUUUUACAUCUUUGUGCAUAGUACAUUAAAUUCUGACUUUAAGUAAAAAGCUAAAUUGAUCGAUAUUUUUUAUGUGUUAUGUGAUGACAACUUUUUCCAGGAUCAGUAUAUCGUUCUGUCAGAGGAAAGCAUAUUCUUUAGUUCCUUCUGCAGGUGCCCUUUGAAUGCCAUAGUGUGUGUUCAUGUUUUUACCUAAACACAUAUAUUUAAAGACUUGAACAGUAUUUAUAAAACUGUCUGUGAAACAAAUUCAAGACUUUGAUUUUGUAGUUACAUAGGCACAGCAAUGGAUUCAUAUUUACUCUUGAUCUUGAAAUACUGACCAAAGUGUAGAAUGUUCAAGGUUUGUUUGUUUGUUCAUUUGUUUUGAUAAACUUCUUAAGAGCAUUUGCAGUUUCUCAGAUUUCCUGAAAUCACUGUAGUAACUUUCUGAAGGAGUGUAUGGAUUCCUCUUUUGUGUGCUCACUUUAUAAGAAGGCUAUUCUAUAUGAUAUCAGAUAACAUAAAUUUAAUUCAUUCUAAGAAUUUAGCACAUUACACAAUGUUCAGUGAGCAACUGACUUGAUUUCAAUCAUAUAAGCAACAUUUUGGCUAAGUUAGGGAACUCUUUAGAUGGCCAGUCUACCUCUUCUUGUUUGUAUAUUAUUUCUGUUUUCUUUUUAUGUUGUAUAUGUUUAUGUGGCUUGCCCAAGUAUUCCAUAUGUAAAGUUUGAUUACUGUGUAAUAAAUUUACCAUGCCACCUACUCUAUUAAAAUUUUCUACAAGUUUCACAAUCCUAAGAAGCCAAAUUCUCAAGCUUUUGUUUUGUUUUGUUUUGAAUCAUUAUCAAUAAAAUGCUCCUUUCAGGAAAAAAAAAUAUUUGAGAACGACAUUUAGAGUAUAAAGCGAGAGGAAAUGCACUGUAACCCAUGCAAAUCCCUAAUAUACACUUGAGGAUUUUUAUUCUAUUAGCUGUUUAUUUAAUCUUGCGAAAGGGAAAUGUUCUGAAGUAUCCUUGAGGCUACACUGAAAUUCCUGAGCAAAACUUAAUUAUCCUGAAUCUCUGAUUCUGUUUUGUGCAUAAGGACCAGUGUAAGAGGCUGGUGAAAGAACCCUUACCACUUUCCUGAUACUUGAAAAUGCUUCUUUCUUGGCCUCAAGUAGAAAACUUCCUUUGAUAUAUUUAAAAUGCAAAUCUGGUAGAAAUCACACCAAUUCAAAAACAAGUGAAAGAGAAAAAGUCCACAAUUGAAUUAAUUGAAUAUGCAAUCAGUACAAAAAGUGAUAUUUAUGAAUACUGUCACACGGAGGCUAAAUGUCAGCAUUUUGGAAACUCAGGUUGUAUCACAAUCUUAGGGCAUGAAACAAUGUCUCAACUCUCUGCUACAUUUCAUAGAAAGCAAUGAAAUAGAAAAUUUCCAGCUAUGCCACCAUAGUAAGAAUAAAUGCUGUCUUUUGCAACUUUUGUUUCACUUAUGUUUGUGUACAUGUGAGUAUUCUUAUUCAUGUGUUUGUAAAAAUGCAUCUUAUUGUAGAAGAAAUUGAAAAGUUUCGAGAACUGUAUUGUUUUGGGUGGGAAAUUUUGGCUGUUUACUAUUUUUAUUAGAAAAAAUACCAUAAUAAGUCAAGCUACGGAUUACUAACCUUCCUAGGAAUUUUAGUGUGCUAUUAAAUUGAAACAGAUUGGUUAACAGUAUAACUGUUGUAGUAGCUUAAAAGUAGCAAAAAGUUUCUGGGAAUUUGUUCUUUCUUUUAUUUUGGCUUUAAAAAUGGCAGGAUCUCACCAAGUUGUUAACUUGUCCAGGCUAGGUGGGGAAUUCUCAGUCCUCUUCUUUGUGCCUUCCAAAGUAUUAGGACUACAGGAGCUAAGCCGGGCUUUUUAAUUGUUUGUUUGUCUGUUUGAUCUUUGAGCACAUGUGUUUGAUUCAGUGACCAGGCAAACUACCCUUCUCUCCACUUUCUUGCUCCCAAAUGUCAUCAACCUCCUGUCUCCUGAUGAGUCUCCCUUGUAAUUAUUGAAGCUUACCUUUUGAAGGUACCUGUGGACAGAUGGAGAGAGACUCUAAACAAUCCAUGCAUUAUAUAUUUUAGCUUUAGUAUAUUUUAUUUUAAAUUAUAAGACAAUGAUUUAAAUUAAAAGACAAUAAUUACAUUACAAAAUGUAAGGAAGAAUAUGAUAAUAUGGGUUUAUUUAACACAAAUCAUUCAUCAAAGUGGGGUUUCUUUCUUCUAAUAUGUCUAACAUUAGCCCUAGUAUUGAGUAUGCAAAGAAUAGUAUAUAGAGUCUUAGAUAAUUAAUGUAUUAUCGUCACUGGGAGGCCAGGUCCUGAUGCAGUGGGAAAAUAAUAUCCCCACUUCCUUGGUUCUAUAUUCUUUGUGACCUUGAUGAAAGAAUUCAGUAGAUCCCCCAUAGGUACUGCAGAAUUAUAGGUAGAAUUUAUUGUAAAAUAGAUACAGAGAAAGUUACACUUUCUCUGUGCCAUGAAGGCAUCUGCCCCUGGUUUGGAUGUAUUUUUAUGCACAUAGAAAUUAGUCCUGGGGUUCAGAGAACUACUAUAUUUAUAAUACUUAUUAAGAUUUUACUUAGAAGUUACUUUGAAAUUGCAAAAUAUCUUCCAUCCUUUUCAGAGGGCCAAUGUUUCCUAAAGGUCUUAAAUUACGUUGAGAAUUUACAAAAGGAAAUUUGAGAAAAAUGAGCUGUUCAUUUCAACCACAUCUCAGCUUAAGCAGGAGGGUCUUUAAAGGUUUCCCUUCCUAAUAUCCUUGGGUUGAAGGCCAUGGCAUUCAAGAAUGCAGUCAGAGGGUCAGGUAGCAGGGUGCUGGAAGACGUGUUCAGGGUGUCUAACCUGUAACACAUCAUUGUCCUCUGUGGGGUUGCUUUGAGUGUGGGCAUAACCAAUGAUUAUAAAUAUAUUCUGCAUUGAAGUCUUUCUUUAAGUAACCUGCAACACAUGCCAUUUGGGGGGUUCUCAGCUCUUUUAUCCCUCAGUCUAACUACCUGCACAAAUGUUAGUUGAACACUUGGACAAAGGACUUGAGGUAUGGUGUUUAGGUAGCCUACAAAUCCAUUCACAUUGGGUCUGGAAAAUGCUGUAGUGCCUCCUGACUGUUCCUCUCCUCCUCUGCUGGGUAGGCCUCUCCUCUGUGCAAAGCUUCCUGUGAAUAGCCUGAAGACCUUUCCAUCACUGCAUCACAUGUGACCUUUGCUUCAGUAGCAAAUGAACAAUUCUCUCAUUUCUCUUCCUUCCUUUUUGGUGGUGUAAACAGCAAAUCCUUAAAUAAAAUAAACUGAAGCAAAUAUUUAAGGCAUAUGAUGAAGCACUGGUCACCCAGUAAACUUAACACAUUUUGAGGGGGUAUGAAGAAGAACCAUACAACAUAUGGGUUUUAAGGAUUUUUAAAAUUUUAUUUUCUGGAGAUCUUUAUCCAGGGAAAAAAUAGAUACAUGUACGCCCAAACACAUGCACGAAUUUCUGUACCCGUCAAUUUAUAUAUUCUUACCGAUGAUAUUCCUUCACUCUGCCAACUCAUGCUUGCUGAUAAAGUUUCUAUUUUCAUUCAGCCCAUGGCAAGCAGUCGUUUUUUAAAGGUGAGAGCCCAGCAUAUCUGUAAAGAGAAAUGUGUAGCUGAUUCUGUAAGAGAAGGAAUCCAGGAGUGGAAAUACUCCCUGAGGUGAAAGGGAAGGGCAUUGAGCCUUGCAAAGGAGUCUGGAAAGGCCAGGGGAGCUCUUCCUUUGAAAUGUAAAUGAUCUCUGGAGGAACUGAGUUUAGCCUUCCCCUCACCUGGCUGUAAAUUGCUUUAAUCAGAUAACUAGGUCAGCCCAUCCCAAAGAUCCAUAUUCCUUAAGAAAAGGGAAUCUUGAUUAGGGAAGAGGCAGCCCGCUGAAAUUUUAGGGGACUGAAAGGACCCAAUGUCUCUUAUUACAGCAAGGAACAGGGCUGCAGAGCAAGAUUGUAUCAGAAAGGAGAACCGGGACUGGCAAGGGCAAAAGCAGGCCUGGCCCUGAAGGAUACACUAAAUGUCAGGGUUGAUGGAACCCUAAGAUUAGAGUGGAAAACCCGUGACCUCCACUUCCAUUCAGACCAGGUGUUUUGUGCUGGUUUGGUUUUUGUUUUGUCUACAAUACUGAGUUUCACUGCAUUGUCUCCAUUCAUUUUGUGCUUCUGUACUUUUCAGAGAGAAAGAAUAAAGAGGGGGUAAAAAGUACAAAAGCUUCAUAGCUCAGCAAUCCACCCUCUGCCUACUAUUAUUAUUCAACUAGAGUAAUAAAAAUAGUCACCACUUAUUGAGACAUUAUUGUCACACAAUUGUUUUUUAGUUUUCACUUGAGGAAGCUGUGACUUAAAGAGGACAAUAAUAGGCAUUUUUUCCCCACUGUUGGAAGAAACUUCAAAAAAUUUUAUUUGACAAUUUCAUGAAAUAUUUAUGGCAGACCAAAUGUAAAGGGGUUCCGCUUCCUCCACUCAGGUUGGGUGCACCAAGUAUUCCAGGCUGUGAGAGAUAACAGAUUUCACUUAACUAUGUGUAAUAUUUAGUAAAACAAGCAAGAGUAAAAUGCAUUGUAAUUAUUUUUCAGUGAAAAUAUUUUGGUUAUGUUGUGAUACAAGUCAUUAAGAGUUGUGAUUUUAUGCAUAAAUAUUAUUACCAAUGCAGAUUCAUUUGCCUGUUCGUAGAAUUUUGACUCUAGAGCUUUAAUGGUAUAUCCUGGAAACCUGAAUUUUCAAUGACUUUCCCUUACUCAAAUCUAAUUGCAAAUUGUAGGCCAGUUUACAAAAAUUCUAGAUUAGUGUUCUUAAAAUUCCUGUCUUUUGCUUCCUAGUUCCCUCCUAGAAAGCCUCUGGAAACACCAAAAAUAAGAGCUAACUAAGACACUGCCACAGUCUGCAGCCCUCACUGGUUGGCCCAUGUGACCUCCUGUCACUUCCUUGAGUCCUAAAGCUUCUGGAAACUCCUCUUUUUGUCACUUUACAUAACAACCCCUGUCCUGGCUGCAAGACAGGGUUUGGAGGGGGGGAUCACAUGAAACGUUUGGAUCUUUUUGCAGCACUGUUGCAGCUGAGGAUAAUAUUUCUAGUUAUACAUGGAUAACUCUAAAAUGUUCUGGCAUUACAUUUAUUCUCUGGGAGUAUUUCCUUUAUAUUUUAUUUUUAAAAGAUUAAAGACUAUUUUCCCUCACCACCUGUUUGAAGCACUGUUGGUCUGUUCCUUUGGUCAUCUUCCAAGUCACAGGGCUUUGGUGACAAGGUGCAGCUGUGUGUGGCGCCUCCAGUGCUAUUAACCACUGUGUGUGGAAGGAGCGGAGGUAAUGGGUUUUCAAUUUUGUAGCAUCCUUUUCAUAAUUUAAAAAGUCAUCAUCUUGGGGCUGGGGAUUUAGCUCAGCGGCAUAAGCGCCUGCCUUGCAAGCAGGCAGUCGUGAGUUCGAUCCCUGGUACCGAUAAAAACAAAAAAGACAAAAAAAAAAAAAAAAAAAAAGUCAUCAUCUUUUAGCAGUUGUUUCUUGUUGCCAUACAAUCUUUGCAGGGCCUUUUUCUUUCACUCCAUGUUCAGCAUUUAAAAGUAACAGUUGCCUUUAUGGAGCUUUUAUUCUAUGCCAGUCAUGUGCCAGCGGCUCUGCUUUACAACACCAGUUGUUCAGUGGCAGAUACACUGGACUGUCAGUUUCUCCGUGCCACACAGGCAAACGGGGAAGCGAACCGGCAACCUCUCCUUAUUCCUGCCUCAUCCUACACCAGGGUGCCGUGGAAGUUCCCUCUAAAGUAUUUUUCUCCAUCACUGAGGAGCUGUAUUAUCAUGGUGGUCCUUGUAGAUUUUUAAUGUACAUAGGCACGUAUGUGAGUUUUGGUACGGUUUUUGUCCCAAUCCGUAAUGGCUGCUGUGCUGUUCUCAACAUGUUUAGUAGAGAGUCUGUGUUAGUCUGUUCAGGCAACUGCAAUAAAAUGCCACACACCGAGUAUCUUAAACAACAGAACUAAUUUUUGUAGUCUGUAGAAUUCUUAAAUCAAGGUGGUGGGGUAAAUUUAGUUUCUGAUGAGGCCUUUCUUUCUGGUUUGUAGACAGUCACCUUCUCUCUGUCCUUGGGUGCCUUUUCCUCUGUGCAUGUUCAGAGAGAGAGACAGAAGAAAAGAGGGGAAAAGGGAGAAGGAGAGGGAGAGGGAGACUGAGAGGGACAGGGACAGAGACAGAGACAGAGACAGAGAGAGACAGAGAGACAGAGACAGAGAGAGACAGAGAGAGACAGACAGAGAGAGGCAGAGAGUGACAGACACACAGAGAGAGGCUUCAAUGACCCUUCCUUCCUCUUACAAGGACAUGUCCUAUCAGAUUAGGGUGCUAACCUUGUGACUUCGUUUAAUCUUAGAGCACUAUCUCCAAAAGCAGUCACUUUAAGGAUUAUGACUUCAUCAUACAAAUUUGAAAGGAAGCACAGUUCAGUCCAUAACAUAGUCUAUUUUUGGUCUAAACAAAAAUACAUUAGACUGGACCAUCAUCCCCUCACAAGUUUGUCAUGCAUUACAUACACAGUCUACGUUCCUGGGACUGCAUCCUUUUCAUUUUUGCUUUCCAGAUUAGAUCCAAACAGCAACCUUACACAAGCCCUCGUACAAUUUAUGAAAAAUGGAUAGAAUUCCUAUAUCUUUUGUGAAAAAGUAUGUGUAAAUAAAAUAAUACUUUAAAUCAUAUUUUUUAACUUUAUGAGUAUAACCUUUUGUGCACAUGAUUGAAUGCUUUUUUGUACUUAUCAGCUUUCCCAGAGAUUUAUGGUACUAAAUAGUAUUGUAACUAUUUUAAUUUUGCUAGCCAAUAAGUAAAUGUAAGCUUUCUAAUUAAUGUAAAAUCAGUAUUUACAUAAAAGUCAAAACAUUGUUCCACAAAUGUAACACUUACUUUUAAUGACAAUGCUAAUGCUGAAUCUUAAGUACCUAAGUAUAUAUUCCACCUUAAGUUCCAAAUGGAAUGCAGUAGGAAGUCCCUUGAAAUAAAAAUAUACACUCAAUCAUUCCUUUUCUGUAGGUACAGUCUACGUGAAUUUUUCACACAUGAUUACACUGUUGAUCACGAUGAGAUCCAGUGGGCCUGAUUCUGAAAUACCUAGACCUGUCCUGGAAGUUAGUACUAAACUCUCAGCAAUUCCCCACUUAUUAUUAUUAUUACUAUGUAUGUAUACUGUAAACUUUUCAACAUGAGGCCAAACUAAGGACAAAUUAAUUAAGGAUUUCCUUCAUCUUUUUUUUUUUUUUUUUUUUUUUGGAUAAAAAGUCAGGUGCUAAAAUCCAUAACAAGCAAUCUGAAUUUCUGUAUUCAUCCAGUGUGAUGUGAGGAAUGUGAGGGUGACACAGGACAAACUCAUCAAAGCCUGGGUGAGAUGUUCUCUCCUGUCUUUUGGCUAGCAUUUCAAGGCAAUGAACCAUAAUAGCUAAGUAGAGGUUUCCUAAUAAGUACUUUUCUGAGCUUCUAGUGCUAAUUUACAUUCUUAUCUUGAUCUCUAACUCUCUGUGCAUGUGUGUGUGUGUGUGUGUGUGUGUGUGUGUGUGUCCUACUGGGAAUUGAACCCAGGAUCUUUGCAGUGACCUAUUUUUUUUUAAUUGGGGAGGGGGAGUAGGGCUUUUAAUUUGCCCACCACUUGCAUUCAUCCUGCCUCAGGUUCCCAAAAUUCUUGGAUUACAGAUGUGGCCAGAGAACUCAGCCACCAAACCCAACUUUGACUACUAGCAUUUAUAAGUAAAAAGCUGAAAAUUCCUCUGGGCAAAGAAAUGACAAUAAUUAUGGUGUAAACAGAGAGGUAUGUUAAAAUUGUAUUUAUAUCUGCUUUUCAUUAUAUAUUUAACUGUUGAUUGCAAGGUCAAUUUUAGAUAGAAGUGACAUUUCCAUAGAUGGGAGGAACAAAAGAUUAGUGCCUACGUUUUUCCAAACCCUGUAUAAAAUAUUCAAGAUCACUGAGAUUCACUUUUUAACUUAAACUUUUGACUUUUUAAAAGUGUUUUGCCUUUAAUAAAGGCACAUAUAUUAUAUUUACAUGGGCAUAUAUACAUAUGUAUGUAUAAUAUAUGCACACUAAGGAACACAGUAUUCCACAGAGCAAGUAUUUGUGACUACUAUAUGCCAAGAGUAUUCAAGGUACUGUUGUAGGCAGUGGAGAAAAUAAACCCAAUCACCAAACUAAACAAAAAUGUCCCAUGCUUUCAGUAGCAUAAUAAAUAAAGUUUUCAGUUUCAUAGCAUAAUAAAUAAAGAAUAGUAAUAGCAACACAGUAUGUAAGGAUAGAAUAAAACAAAGAAUAUUAAAAGGAUGAAAAAGAAAAAAAGUAUGAAGUGUUUCUGAGAAACACAGGCAUGUAGAAGGAAGAAUACCGAUCGGUAUAAUUAUCCACCUUACCAUCUCUGGACAUGCACUUUGAUUAAGGUUUAAUGUGUACUAUAAAAAAAGGACUAAGUGACCUAAUUUCUAGAAGAUAGUAAAAGAUAUUAAAAUAGUGAGGUUGAAAUAUCACUGAUGGCCUUCAGAAAAGCAAGCUGUAUCUAAUUUCCUUCUCAUAAAAGAGUUGACUGUGAUAUAGACAUGUCUACUUCACAGAUGUUCAGUGGUUGAGUAGUGGCCUCUGUAGCUGAACUGUCGCUACACAGACUUCAGCUUUCCAUUUACACACUGUGUGAUUCUAAACAAGCUACUCCCCAUUAGUGCUCAUCACUCUCCACAUUAACUAAAUGAAGAGUAUAUAAUUGAUUCAAGUAGAAAAAACAGCCAUUUUUGGCAAAUUGAAAUUUGACUCAAGAAGGAAAUAAAUUUUUUAUGGAGACUAAGAUUUUGGGGCAAAAUUUUUAAACAGCACAUCUUGUUUACAUUUCACAAAAAAAGUCUUGCUUUAAUUUUUAAGGCAUCACCAAUAGUUUAAAGUUAAAAAUGAAUUACUGUCUUAAUUAUGCUUCUCUCAUUGCUGAGACAAAAUAUCUGACAUGCAAAAUUAAGGAAGAAAAGUUUUAUUUAUCUCACAGUUUGUGGAGGUUUCAUUCCGUAAUCUGCUGGGUCUAAGGCAGAGGGGCUCAUGGCAAAGAGCAAUAGCUCAUGACAGAAAAUAGAAAAAGCAGCAAGAGCAAAAUGAAAGGAGCACAAGAGAAGACUCCUUCUGUUCCUUACAUUGUAUGUAGGCUACCCAUCCUAGGGUGGUGUAGCACUCAUACCCAUAAUCUCAGCACUAGAGAAUAAGUAAGUCACAAACUCUAGAUUCAUUCUCCACAAAAAAGCACACACCUCCAUGACUGCAUGAGGCUUUUGGGGGACGUCCAUGUACAAACCAUAACAAUUGCUUAUAAAAAACUUUCAAUAACUUAUGUUUACUUAAGUUAGGUGUGCAUUAUUAAACAUUUAAUUAAAAUAUGACCUGCACCAAUUUCUCAAAUUUGCAGGAGAUAUAUUCAAAAUCCCACAUAGAACCCUCAAAUUUUAGGCAAUACAGAACUCUUUUUGCUUUGUGACACUUUUUCAACUGACCACCUGGCUCAAAAUAUUUAUCAUUGAAACAGUCUUAGACUCAGUUGCAUAAUACCUCUGUGAAUAUUAUCUACACUGAUUUGACUAUUAGAGUGAUUUCAAAAAUUUUAAGAAUCAAAAGGAAUGAAAAAAAAUUUUUAAAUGUGGUGAAUCAACUUCUGAGGCUGUGUUCCUUACACCACUGAAGUACUUACAGGAUUGUGUUUACUCAAUAAACAUUUGUUAAAAUAUUACCACAAUGAGGUUGUUUCCUAUUAAUAGAAAUAUAAAAAGGUAAAGAACGUAAUUAUUCACCAUUAGAUCUCUUAUGAAAUCUUAUGAGUUCAACACAGAGCUCUUUUAAAAGGUUAACUCUCAUUUGGAAAGAUUCAACUUCAUGACACACAGCUCUGGAAAUAGUUUUGGUUAUUGACUAUUGGCCUCAAAUAAAUUAUGCAAUAAAUUAUGCAAAUUACUAGAUCAGUAGAAUAUUAAGCAGAUUAGAAGCUAGAUCAUUUUGGUUCAUUAUGCAAAUUUUGUUUACAUUUAAUGUCUGAAGUUGAUUUAUUCAUUAUCAGUCCAUAAACUUCAAUAAAUUGUCACAUUUUAAAGAAGAGUAAAAGAAGAGAUAAGAUUGAGGACUCAGCAUGAUUGUCACAAUUAUAUUCUAAGAACUUGGUAAAACUCAUUUUUCAUUAUUUGUAUAUUAUCACAUCUUUCACAAGAUGUUUCCUGGCUACACUUGAAAGUUUUUGUGUUUGCAUGUUCGUCUGGCCAAGUGGCAACUGUUUUUAUUCCCCCGUAAUAAACAUAUCAACACUAAGAUCAUGCAGUGAACAAAUAAUAAAAGUGUGUGGUUAUGAAUUGUUGAGAACACAUGGUUAUUCAUCUUAAACUUUAUGAUUGUUCCCUCGUAAAAUAUAAACAACUGCCACUAGCCCACAAAGCAGGGAAUCCUAGAUGCCAACAUGCAUGUCAGUGUUCUGUUUAUAACCAUGAAAUGGCUUAAUGAAGACCUCAGGUUUCCAGUAUGCUUACAAUUUCAUAAUGAUGCAACAUAUUGUUUCCUAAUCACUAGUUAAGGGCACACCCUGAAGGAAUUUAAAAUGAUGAGUGCUCCUGCUAUGUUACCUUGUAGUAAAUAUAGGAGUACCUGCAUGCUGCAUUAAGAGGAGCACACAUACUUUGGAUUGGACAAAUUGAUCCGUAUACUGUUUUGCAAUCUACCUGUGCAUGUCUCUAUCUUUCUUAACUCAGCAUCAAGAGUCAUUGUACGUUUUAGGUCCUAAAGAGAAAAAGUGAUUUGUGUAAGGCUUUAGUAAAGGAAACCCAGAAAAAGUCCUAUUCUGACCUAUUGUGCCACACAUGAUGCUAACCCUUACCUCUGUUCACAGCUGGCCAUUGUGAAUCAGCUUAAUCUUAGAAUUUGUAGCUGCUGAAGGCACUCCCAUCUGCACUACAAAAUUUGUUUCAGUAUUGUUUAAUAUCAGAAAUUAUUCAUCACAGGCUGCCUUAUAUAAAAAGAAAUUGAAAUGAAAAAUCAUUAUAACUAAAAGCAUGGCAACAUAUAAUAUGCCUUGAUUCUGGUUAGUGAGAUCCUAACUGGGAGGCAGAUGCCGAUUUUGUAGGUUUCUUUUGGCUUUGUUUUUGUUGUUGAGGAAGUAUCACUCAACUAUUUCGUAUCUCUCUUUUUUUUUUUUUUCUUUUAAAGAGAAAAAACAAAAAUCAAUAAGUAAACAAUCAAAAAUCAACAACAAAAGCAAAAUAACAACAGAACAGCAACAACAGCAACAGAAAUAAUAGUGAUCUAGGAUUUUAAAGCAAGGUGAUAGGAAUUUAACGAUGGCUGUUAUUUUGCAUAGUUACCUUCAAAAUAGUUGCUCAGGUUACCAGACAGCAUCCUUUUUCUGUUACUAAUUAAUGUUAUACUCUAUGAGAAAUGUGACAAACUGUAAGAAAGUACAACCAUGAAACUUUGAAUAGUGACUGAUGUGAUUUUUUUGACAUAUUAUAGUAAAUAAAGUAUCUUUGAAGAAGAUGGAGAGAGAUUUUAAAAAGUGAAGUAAUAAUGUGCAAAGCUGAACCUAAGUAUUUCCCUGGGAGAAUUGUUUUUUUUUUUUUUUUUUUCUUAAAGAGAAGAUCUUGUUUCCAAAAAUAGUAGUGUUAAGUUGUCACAUUUCACUCCUAGCACUCAUCUGUGAAGGAUUGAAGACACAUUAUUUUAUCACCUUGAGAAAAAAAGACACUGAAAUGUCUUAUUGAAGAAAGAAGAAAAAAAUAUGCUUUAGAACUAGAGAGGAAAGUCUCAAUUUACAAAACGAAAAAAAAAAAUCAAGUAUUUUGCUCAGAGGUCCAAAAAAUGUUUGGCUUCUUCUUCUUCUCCUUCUUCUUCUUCUUCUUCUUCUUCUUCUUCUUCUUCUUCUUCUUCUUCUUCUUCUUCUUCUUCAAUCACUUAAGCUGGUUUCUAGCUAGGCCUUUUUAUUGAAUAAUUGAAAAAAAAUGGAGGAACUUUUUCAUCAAAGGCAAAUGAUAGUAAGGAAAAAAGUAUUAAGGGAAUAUAGAUUGGAAGUUAUAUCUUUCUGUACUUUCAUGAUUGCCUACAUUUUCCCCUAAACUUUUAGUUGAAAAGCUCUGAAAAAAAAGAUCAAGCCCCGAGGAAAACGCUAGGGAAUGAAAUACAGCAUCCUGUGCUUCUUCACCCCCAAGCCUUUCCCUCAGUCUUGCCCACAUUGGCAAACCCUGUAAACUGCCACGAGGAGUUCAAACUGCUUUACAUUUUAAAGCAGCCAAAACUGCCAUACAUUUGAAUUUCAAACUAAAAAUAAUAAAAAUAAAAAAGCAUCACUUUGGGAAACACUGAAAUGGGGGAGGAAUAUAGGCAUUUUUGAAAGGUGAUUUUAGAAGAUGCUGUUAUUAACUAUCUCACUGGAUUUCAAGUUGCAGUGCAAGAUUGCUAAAAUAACGACUUCAGCAAAUUGGAAAUUCGGUUCUUGGCAGCCUUCCUGCGAGGCGCUGGUUGCAGGCAAUCUGUCUCCCUGAUCCUGCAGCCUUCUGGGCAGCAGCCGCGGUUUAUGAGGUGUUGCUCUUUUCUUUCCCCGGUGGCAUCCUGUAAGCUUCUGUACUUGCUCUGUCUUCAUUUUCCCGCCAAGCAGGCUACAUUUUCUCACUGUCUCAAAGGAAGUCAGAAGUCAGUACCAAGCGGCUCAGUGAUAAGAAUAUUUCAAACACUGAAUGGUUGCUCAGCUUCACUAUGACAACUGCCUGGAGAAGACCACAAAGGACUAACAAAUGUGGGAUCAUUUUUGUAUCAGCAAGUUUCUAACAAUCCUUGGUCACAUAACUAAAACCCAGUAACAUCAGAAGUAAAACUCAAGGUUGCCUAACCUGGGUCCCUAAUAAUAACAUAAUUCUAGAUAAAAUAGGACCUUGCAUGAGACUAUAACAAUGUUACUGGAAUUUACUUGCCUACAUGUUGUUGAUUCAUUUGACUCCUAAUUUUUGAUAUGCUGUUGUACCUGUAUACAAAAUAGGAUCUUACAAUCUUGUGGGGGAGACAGUCACCACUGGGGAGGAAUAAUACUGUAUCGGGCUAAGGGUUUUAAUGGGAACCGCAUGUACCCUGGGGAAGGACUUACUAAUUCCUAGAAAUGUUGAUGCUGACAGAUGACUCACAAGAAAAUUAUGAUUCUGCUUUGAUUUCUUUCUACUUCAUAGACUUGCAUCAAUAUUGCAACCUUGGCCAUGGGGCAUCAACUGUGCUCACUGGAACCGAAUUGAAAUGUAUUUUUCUUUGCACUGUCAUUUAUAUCUCAACUGCUCUUGCUCUUUAUGGGUUUCUAAUGGAUUUUUCUUUGAUUGUUAAUAUUAGACUCAGUUAUUGAGCAAUUCAGUUAGCUUCACUGCAUCUUCUUAUUCUGUGGUUUUGACCAAAAUCAAACUUUACUGCUACUGUUCAGUCUGCAUUCUUCAGACUUGGUGCAAGAUGUUUUCUAUUUAUUUUUAGAUAUCAAAACACCUUCAGAAUGGAACUGUUCCUAUCACUGCGGUUCAAAGUAGAAGGACAGAUGCUCUGAAGGAACUUCCAUAGGAGGAGCUGUGUAGAUGCUUUUAUUUAUGGCAGCAUUACUGGAAUGUUUACACCGUCCCCAGGCAAUCUCUUUGAGGAAUGUAACAAUUCAUCUGAGUCAUAAAUUACAUCAUCCUAAAAAUAGUCACAUAGUUUUACACCCUGUAUUUUUAAUGCAUAGUUUGUAGAAAGUGUUCACGUCCCGAGAAAAAUCAUGAUCAUUAUUUUUUCAAUAAUUUAUAGUUAUUUUUAGGUGUUUUCAUUUUUUUUUUUAUUGUGCCCCAUUUUGCUGGAGCACCUACAGUUCCAUGUAUUCUAUUAAUACUGGUACUUGUUGCCAACCAGCUUUCAGAUAAUCCUGCUUAAGUGACUGGUUGAUGACAACAUUUUAGAUAGUGCCACUCCAAGUUAUAUUUCUAUUUCUGGAGGAUACUGGAAGAAUUGAAAUUCCAGAUGUGAGGCUUUCUAAUGCAGUAGCUCAUAUGAGACAUCAUGCAUGUUUUUGUUGUAUCCCUCUUAGUCUCUCAAUUCCUGCUAUUAAAGAUGAAACUGAAAAUAGACUCCUGGAUCCUUGUGUAGGUGGAAAAUAAAUAAUAUGUACUCUUUAUUUAGGGCUGAUGUCACCAAGUUACUAAUUCUAUUUGAUAUAUAUGUCAAAUAUAUACAUUAUAUAAUUUAUAUAUAAAUGUAUUUACAUUAGUGCAUAUAACUGUAUAUUCUAUGUAUAUUCUCUAGAUAUUCUAUGCACUUAUUCUAAAGAGAUUUUACCCUACAAUAAUUCAAGAUCUAGAAUCUCUCACUCCCAGGAAAUAUCAGAAAUUGAUAACUCUAGCCUAGAUAACAAUAGCAAUAAAAAAAUUUGAAGUUGUAUUUUAUCAUUUCUCAAAGUAUUAAAUAGAAGCACCAAGUGGAAAGCUUACAUCUAAAAACUGCCCUUGUCUUCUUGUCUUUCCUUAGGGUAAAGGAGGGUAAAUGGAAACCCUCAAAGGAGAUUACUUUGUGCAAGAAUCCUCAGAUAGAUUUUCUAAGGUUUAGGCCCAAUUGUAAGGCCCUGCAGCGUGAAGAGAGAGCUGAGGAAUGGAUGUUCUGGAACAAAUACUUUAGUGUAGUUUCCCUUCAUAUUUUGGGACCUGAGUUUCCUAGUGUUUUCUACUGUCAGGUUCUCCAGUCUCCUGAGACCUUAAUUUCAAUACCAAUUCUAGAAAUUUGCCCCAUUUACUUUCACAAAAUACUGCAGCACCUAAUUCUCUCAGGGCAGUGGUUUGAGCCAACACAUGGACUGGGAUCUUUUCAUUGAGAUUAUUUUUAUACUGGUGAAUAUUAAUGACUUCGUCUUUUAACAUAACUAAUGAUUGUAGGAAUUAGAAAUUGACUUGGUGCAAAAUUGCUUCGACUUUUUCCAACUAUUGGUGAAAAAAAUUCUUUUCAUUCAGGCACUGAUGUUUCUUUUGUUAUGCCCUUGUCUUUUCUGUUUCUAGGCUUUAGUUAUGUAGUCUAGAAAAUAAUAAAUAGAUACUCACUGUGUUGGACUGUCCACACAGUGGACAAAGGACUUAAUCAUCUAAACCAGAUACAUUAUGUGUCUUAAUAUUUUCAAGAUUUUAGUUCAGUUUUGAAUUAUUCUCCAUCAUAGCAGGCUAUAUUAGAAUUUUUAAAAAGACAUUGAAUGAAACAAUUUGUAUGUAAUAUUAUUAUGUUUUCUUAGGCUUAUCUAGAUAACGUUGAACUGUCUCUAAGAAAAUGGAGACACUCUUUUACUGUGCAACCAGGAAACUGAUCCAUGUCCCUUUUGAUAUUGUCUAACACAAUUAACCAUUAUUUUCCAGGUGUCUUGCUGCCUGCCUUUAGUCAUGUAUGGAUUUCCUAUUGCUUCUACAUGGCCUAAAUUAGCAAGCAUUUCAAAAAAUUGACUACAUUAAAAGUCAACAUGUUGGCAAGACUGUGUUUUUGUUGGAGAAGCUCUUUUCUUGUCUUUUUUUGGCUUCUAGAGACUGCCUAGAUUUGUUGGUGCUUGAUUCCUAUUUUUAAGGUCAACAUGUUGCACAUCUUUGGAGAGUCAUAAUUCUAGCUACUACAGGUCUGACAAGCAAACAUUCUAAACACUUGAUGAAGGAAAUUUAUUAGACUGAAUAGUCUUCAGUCAGACUUUAUUUUUAUUCUACAGUCUUUACAUUCUGUAUUUUUAUCCCCAAGUACUUCUACUGUACUUUAUUACCUCCACCAAAUUUUGCUUUUCCCUCAAUAUAAUGUACUAGGAUUAAAAAAUUUCAGAACAGAGCAUGGUGAAGUGAUUAGUAUUUUCCAUGUAAGAUAAAACAUUUAUUCUCAUAACCAAAGUUGCCAGAUAUUGUGAAAUGUAGGCCGUUACCAUGAUGGCCAGUGUAGGAAUUUCUCUAUUCAGAUCACAGAACUUUGCAACAUUUUCAAAUUAUUUGUUCAGUUUAUCCAAAAAUUCAAAUUCUAUCAUUGUAGUUAGAUUUAAUUUGAGUGAACUGCAAUGAGAAGCAGAAAGAAAUGAAGCUGGGCUUGAGGGGAAAUAGACCUGAUUCUACUUCCCUGAGCUUCCAUGUUUAAAUCUGUAAGUUGAAUAUAACACGGUCUAACCUGUAGGGCUACUGUGAGGGUUAAGUCAGUGACUAAUGUGUAUACAGAAACUCAUUGAAGGAUAGUUUCUUCAUUCUCUAGGAUGUAGCCUGACUGUGAGAUCAUAAAAAAAAAAAAAAAAUCACUUGGUGGUUACCAUUUCAGGGCCAUCUUGAAUAUGGGUAAGAUGUAACCUAUCAGGCUGACUCAUAUCUCUUCUCAUUUUAUAUUCUACCUCUUAUGAUUUUUUUCAUUGCAGGAAUCCAUACUCACCAAUGUUGCACUAGAAGUUGUCAAUAGAGAAGGGGAUAUAUUGUGAAUUAGAGAAUGUAAUUUUGUCAUAGUUUUCCUGAAUGUAUUCGGUUUACUUCCAUACGCACUUUUGUUGGAGAUAGUGAAUGCAACAAGAUGUUCCCCUCUUCAAUGAAAAAUACUCAUUGAUGCUGAAAAAAAGUCAAGAUGUUUCCUUUCAAACCUCCUGAGAUCAGAGCAGGACAUCUAGAAGACGGUUGCAUUAGGGGGCUGGUUUUGUUAGCUGGUUUGAUAUUAAGAGGUAGAAUUUGGCUGGAAGAAGAGGUGAUCAGUGGAAGCAUGGCCUCAAUGAUUCAUCUCCUUCCCGGCCCUUCUCUUGAUUCUGUCUGCUCCUGGAUACCAUGCCUGAGCAGCUGUCUUCUACCAUGUCCCCAAGUUCUGUUGCCUGCUUUCCAGUCAGAUGACUUUGUGCUAAAACCACCGCAAACUGUGAGCCAAAAUAGACUCAUUCUCCUUUAAAUUAAGAGUGUCAGGUUUUACAUUUCAGCCUCAAGGAAGAGACUUAAAGUCUGAUAACAGUUUGUGUCUUCUUGUCUCGAUGUGCAGGUUUUAACAGGUGUUGUUUUCUACUUCUUCAAGGUAGCAGGCAGAGAGAGCAGGAAGGACUGAAGCAGCCUCAGGAACUCUGAAAUGCAUUAAGCAUUUCUCUUGAUUUUACACAAAAUGAUCAAAUACAUGAGCAUGCCUGGAGUUAUUCUAUCUUUCAUUGUAGUCCUGGUGGGCUUUUUGUAGAAAAGAUUCUGAAUACAUUAUCUUUGAAGAGGAUUCCAAUUGUCAAUAAAACAUGCCUGUAACAUUAUUCUUCUGUGAGGAAGAAAAAGAGAUAAUAGAUGACGGACUGUAUCACUCACAUUUAAUAUAAUGCCCAGAGACACUUCUAUGAUUUUUAUUCUCAUAUAAAACCUUGCUGAUGAAACACUGAAAUUGAGGCAAAUAACAAUAUACUCUUGUUCAAUACAAUAUGUACGUUUAAGACAGUUAUACAAUGGGACUUAAGUUAUGAUUUGGGUAUAAUAUAUAUGAAUAUAUAUUUUCAUCUAAUAUCUACCAUAUAAUUAAGUGCAGAAAUACUAGAUUAUUAGUUAUAGCUUUUACUUGCUCAUGUAUAGCAAUGAUUUUAAUAAUAUCUGUUUGUAAAUUUCUGUAGCUCAAGUCAGAUUAAAUGGUGAAGAUAAUUUAUAAAUGGUAAAUUGCUAUACAAGCUCUAAGUGCAUAAAUGCUAAGAAUGAUACUAAUACCCUGCAGGGCACAAGGCAGGAUCUCAUAAUGUAAAGAUACCCUACACAAAUAUCAUUAAUAGCAUGGCAGAGAGAUGUUGUAAUAGCCACUAUGUUCUGCUCCUUGCUAGGUAAGUAGAAUGUCAUUGUCUGAGAAAGAAGAAGAGUUUGGACAGGGCUGCCCUAAGUGACCAUAUAGACUACAAGUUGUGGAGUAAAUAUGCUAACAUAUUUCUUCUCUCUUUUUAGACUGACUGGGAAUUUCCCCCAGCCAAACCCAGCCAGCAGGCAAGGGACUUUGUCAGUGUAGUCUGCACUGGUUGACCAUGUGGCUAGAAAAUGAUCACAGUGACUCAGGGUGAGGUGGACAGCGUAAGUGUGUUCUGGGGCUAAGAAAGAGUAUAUUUAACCCCAACUAUGAGUCAUUGUCUCAAUUUAAUACUCAAUUCUAGGAGACAUGAAGAAAUGAGAUCUGAGGAUAGGAUCAUGUACAUGCAGAAAGAAAAAGCCAUUCAUACAGAUUUACAGAAGAGGAAAAUAAGAAAUGCAUCUGCAAAUUAUUUUUUCAUUGGGGAUGUUUUGCUUAUUAUAUGAAAACAGUCAGAGUCAGAUUGCUGUCUUUGUCAACUGUUUAUGUCAAUUCAUUAGUGCCAAAAUUUUGGAUGGCUUAUUGUCUGCUAGGUACAGAGGAUACAAGAAGAAAAUGUGAAAUGCUACCCAUUUUUUAAGCAGCUUUGGUGUAGCAGAAGACACAGCCACGUAGAGUACUGCUACACUUAGAGCAUUUAUGGGUAAAAUGUUAGAGAAGAGACAUCCUAAUUUUUCCCUAAGGUGUAAAAGGUCUUGUAUCAAAUGUGACAUUGAUAGAGCCCUUCAGGACAGCCAGGUGCUUUCUGACAUAAUGAAACAAUAGAUAGAAUGUCGUUAUUAGAAUAGAAACUGUAGUUGAUGAACUUGUAAAAUUAAGUGGAAUCUCAAUUUCCAAGAACAUUGUGUACCAUGUUGAGAUAUUAAAUCUUAAAGUAUUAGACAAUCAUUAGACAAAUACUGCUAUGAAUGUAUAAGUGGACAUAAGUAAAAACAAUUCCAACUGCUACACACUUGUGUUAUAUGAAUCCCUCACAAUUUUGUCUUUAAAUUAAAAACAUUCAAAAUAAUAUCUUAUAAUUGGUUCUGCACAGAUGCAAUUAUUUCUGAGUGAGCUUAAUUUAUUGAAGAUUUUACUGAGGCAUUUUGAUGUUCAAAAGUGAUAGCACUUAACACAUAUUCUUUGCUAGACUAUUCUGAUUAGUGUGCUGGAGGAUCAAACAUCUCAGAAAUGUUUUAAGAAUAAGAGUCCUUCUUCUAUUUCUUGACUAUAAAUAUUGCUUUAAUCCUCACAUACACAGUGCAAAAUAUUUCCUUUAUCUUUAUCUUUUAGAAAAGUUGUAAAAUAGUCAUGGUUGGGAAACAGAUCUUUAAAAGUUUGUGAGCUGUGUAAUUAGGACUCAGAUUUUAUAUGCUGUGUAUAUCCCUAAAUUUGACACUUUUAGUGUGAAUGCAUAUAUAUUUUCCUUGAUUUCUAUAAACAGCUUUAAUCUUUUUAUUUCUCAUCUGUGUUGGUUAUUUUUCUCUCUUUCUAAGACAAAAUGCCCACACACAAAAUUGAGCAAGAAAAGGUUUAUCUACUUAACUCACAGUUGUGGAAGUUUGAUGUGUAUAUUCCUAAAUUUGUCACUAUUUCAAUAUGAAUGCAUAUAUAUUUGGCUUGAUUUCCAUAAACUGCUUUAAUCUUUUGAUAUCUGUGUUGGUUACUUUUCUCUUUUGCUGAGACAAAAUAUCCACACACAAAGCUAAGAAAGAAAAGGUUUAUCUGUUUAACUCACAGUUUGUGGAAGUUUUAGUCCAUAAUCUGCUAGCUCCAAGGCAGAGUGCCUCAUGGCCCAGGGGCAACAGUUCAUGGCGGCAGGAGCCAACAAACUCAGAGCAAGAAGGGAGGAGCAAGGGGAGAAGACUCUUCCUAGCCCGUGUAUCCUAGGGUUGGUGUAGCACUCAUAUGCAUAAUUCCAGCACUGGACCAUGAAUCAGUCACAAACUCUAGAAGCCUACACCCUUAUGACUGCAUGAGGCUUUGAUGGGGACACCCAGACCAAAACCAUAACACCAUACAACUAAGGGCCAUGUUUUGUAGGGGCAAUACUUUUGUAUAGAGUUGUAGAGUUCAUUUGGUAUGGACAAUCAGAUUUUGAAGGAACUUUAUUAUGGUAUAUCCUUUUAGGCAUGAUUACACACUUCUUCCAUCUGAUAGGCACUUGCACAUCUCUCCUUUUGUCUAGAUAAUAUUUUUAGAAUAAAAUUAAGGAAUUAUUUGGCUAUGUAAUUUUCUUUCUCCCCACUACCAUUUAAAAAUUGUAUUAUUUGCCUGUUUUCCAUAGUAUCUCUGUUUCUAUAAGGAUUUUUGAAAGCAAGAUACGGUUUGUUCUAUAAUUCCUAUUAGAGAGAAAACUGCAUGAUUAUUUUUAAGGAGGAGGCACAUGUCUGAGUGCUCCCUACUCUUCAGUCUUCUAACCUAUUCCAUACUUUACCUUCUUGUCUUGUUGGUUUCUCUGGCUUGAUAGAGGAAGACCAUUGGCGUUUUUAUCCAACACAAAUCAAAGCCAAGGAAUUUGAUGUGCAAAGUGAAGAGACAGCAGUAAUUACCAGGUUCUUUCAGGUUUGAAUCUGAAACAUGAUCGAAAAAUUCUUUGCAAAUAGGUAUUUUAGCCUUACUAUUUUCACUUCUGGAAAAAUAAUCCAAAUUUUCUAAGUUAUCUUUUCAUUUGAAUGUGAGGUAAGUUCACAGUACAAGCCAAUGUUGCAAAAUAUGGGCUCUUCUUUUGCUGGUGACUUUAUUUUGGAAAUCGUGCUGAGUUAUUUUUGUUUAUUGCUGAAGGUUGGAAUCUCAGAGAUUAAUACUGGUAGAAGAAGUUGGUGAUGGAACUCAGAUGUUCAUACAGCCAGUCUUGUCUCAUAUCAUCUUUAGGGGUAGAAACAGUAACUAGAAAUCAGAUCAGAUUGUAUGAGUGAAGCUUGGCCUCAUACAUGGAAGAUGCUUGCAUAAAUGCUAAUUCAUUCUCCAAGAAGUAAAAGAAUGCCCUGUUACUGUAACCCAAUUUAAAAGUUAUUUGACUUCAAAAUGGGAGCACUUGAACUUGUUGUCAUGGAUUUUGGGAAGUUUUGAGAGGAAUAAGUAGUGUUACAAUUCCGGGAACCUUUGAUUAAAAUGUAUUAGUGGAAGUGGAAGAGUUCUCAGCAGGCUGUGAUUAUUGUGGAUAAAAUACCACCAAUGUCAGUAUCAUGCCUGCGUGCCUGUUUGAGUCACUAUAAACAGUUCUAGGCACUCUACAGGACAAGGUCAGACAUUUGCUUACUUCCGCUAUACAGGAUCAUUUCAUUUUUGGUACAUAUUUCAUUUCCCUUCAAGUGUCCUGAGCUGUGAAAAUAAAGAUAACCUUUAUAACCUUCUUUCUUAUUGAUAACAAAGCAGAGAGAAGGGCUCGGUUUAAACACGAUUGCUGUAAUGUGGGAAUGGUGUAUUUUCCCAAAGGAUAAUGUGGUUAAAUUAAAAAGAAAUGUGAAAGAAAUACACUUCCACAUGAAACUCAAAGUAUGUGGCUUGUGAUGCCAUGUGUACUGUAUGUUGUAGAUAUGUUGUAGGCAAGCCCUUCAUGUGGACACACGUGAACAGCAGACUAUCACACAAGUUAGCAUCUUGUGUGCUUGGUGCUUUGUAUAUUUUUGACACACAGUAGAAGGCAGAAUUGAGCUAAACUUUUAACAGAAAAGACACUUUCUAGGCCUUGUUAAGGGAAAAAUCAUUCUUCUACUAUUCAGUGAGUAUUUAUUACACAUAUGCAUUCCUUUUGACUUAUACAUUUAUUACACAUAUACGUUCCUAUUCUCAUGGCGCUUACAAUCUAACUUGCAGUGAAGACAUAAACAUGUAUCACAUAUGUGAUGCUGUGGUGGAGCCUUUUCCAUGUUCCUCCCCACAAAAGUGUUUACCAGAACUUUGUGAUUUCAUUACAAAUAUAAACAAAGAGUGAUAUUGGAAAAGUUGAGUCCUUCUGUGUAUAAUUUGAAAUAAAAUGUGGUUUCAUUUUGGGUAUAAUGAAUUGUACUAAUGAAAGCUUGACUUUACCUAAAAGCGUUAUUAGUGAGAAAAGCUAUCAAACAUAGCAGCACUAUGUGCUUCUACAAUACAUUUUUAUAAGAUACACUGAUAACUGUAUAUAUAGCCUCCUGAAAUUGGAAUCAGGUUGGGCAUCCUGUGCCAAUUUGGACUCAACAAUCUGGGAAGCAUUUUGUUCCCUCUUAUCUGCUCAGAGCCAUCAGGGUAUAUUUUUUUCUACAGGGAGGAGGCUGUAAUAACAGCAACUAGUGUUAACCUCCACAUGACUCACUAGAAUAGGUCCUGAGGUAAGCUUAGCUCCCUAUCUGGCAAACAGCACACUGUCCCCAAGUCAUUUGUCAAAUGAAAAGGAAGGCCAUUGUCAUAUUCAAGCAGCCCCAUUGAUGUGAGUAGAAAUGUAUCACUUUAUUAUGGUCCCUUCUUCUGCAGAAAACAUGAUAUAGUGAUUUAUUUUAGAUUGUUUAGGGUCUAAGGUGUUGUAUUCUUUAAAAAGUUAUGAAUGAAAGGCCUUAAAAUGUAAGAAGUUAAUGUGAAUAAAAUUCACACUCAAUGCAGGAAAUAUUAGUUGGAGACAAUAAAUCUUGUCAAGCUCAAGGUACUUUUAUUGCUGUAAAAAAAAUGAAGGUCACAAAAUAAUCCUAUUCAGGGAGGUGUGUAGACAUUUAAAGUGAUUCAUCACUUUUCAAGUGACACACAUACCUUUUACAGGAUUUCAGCAUUUUAUCUUCAAUCCAAUUUGGUAUUUAAAUAUUUUAAGUCAACCAUUUGGAAAACCAUAUGCAUUUUUUUUUACAUUUUUUUAAUUCUGUAGUUUAACAAGGAAGGUAGCUGGUGGAGAUUUAUAAUGUGUGCACAUAACUGGCAAUGUUCAUAUUUCUUCAACACCUUCUAACAGUAAGGUAUAAGGAAAUCUGUAUUAUUCAAGAAUCUCUCGUACAUCAAUCCCUGGGCAAGGUGUGUGUAAGUUGUAAAACUUUACUCUUAAGAGUGCUGAUGAGUAUUACUUUUCUCCAGUUUUUUUCAGAUGAAUAAACUGAAGCUCUGGGUUUAAUAACAUGCCAAAAUUUCUAGCCAGCUGGGCUGGAAUCUGGGCUGUAUGACUUCACUGCUUCUAAGAUUCAUCAUAGGACUCACCUGCAUUUGUGUUACUUUAUAAUAUUGGAUGAAUGUGUUUGAUCUCACAAAUUUAAGCAACCCACGUGUUUAUGGCUAUAGAUAAUUCUCUAUGAAUAAGGAAAGCUCUUUUUCUCUCCCACUCUCAUGUAUGAAAUAGAAUUUGUUAUUUAAAUGUUUUGUAACAGUCCCUGCUCUCAUCAUCUGUUGGUGGUGGCUGGAGGUACUAGCAGAGCUUUGGCUCGCUGUGUAACAGUUUCUAUCUGUGAAGUUUGCAUCUGAUAGCCUGUUACACACAGGCUUCGUGAGCACUGCAUGUUUCUCGGCUUGUUUUCCCUCACAAAACCAGCCAGCACCCCUGGAACAUCUUCGCCCUUCUACUUGAUUAAGAAAUACUUUCUUUGUGACCAAGAAGGGUCAGCCACUGUCCAAAGAGAACUGUAUGAAGAGAGGAUUGGUUCAUGUCAGUGUCAUAACCCAAGAGGAAGGAAUUAUUAUCAUUCCUCCAUUUCUAGAUGAAGAAACUGAGGCACACAGGGUUUUAAGUAGCCCAAUAUUAUAUAACUAGUAAAGCAUUAAAAGUGAAAUUUGAUCCAUCAGACUUUACUCUUAGACAUUACAUUAUGCAGACAUCCCAAAUUAUAUUACAACUUCUUACCUUUUAUGUCUCUGUGUCAGGUAAGAAAAAGUUUCUGUAAAGGCUGAAUUCGUUGUCAUUAUAUGUCAUGUCACCUUCUGCAUUUCUUCUGAAACAGGGCUUCAUCAAUCAUUCUUUACUUGCCUUCUAUUGUCUCUAUUCUGAUUAAUUCUUUUGCCUCUGAAAAUGCUCAUAUCUAUAACCUCUUAAAAAGUACUAAUUUUACCAUGGCUUCCCUCCCAUCACGAAGUGGAGACUUUAAUCUUAUUUCUUGUUUUUGUUCUUUUCUUUUCCUCCUCCUCUUCCCCGACUCCUCCUCCUCCUCCUCCUUCUUUCUGUUGUGCUGGGUGUUGAAUUCUACAUGGAGCUGUGUCUCCAGCCUUUUUUUUUUUUUUAAUUGUAUACUUGAGAUAGGAUCUUGCUAAGUGGUUAGGUGGCCUAAGUUCAGCUCAAACUUGUAAUCCGUCUGCCUCAGUCUCUCAGAGUGCUGGGAUUACUUGUGCCGCCAUGUCUGGCUCCUAAUUCUUCUCUUCAUUUCCAUUUUGGCUGUGAGCUCUCUGGUCUCUGAUAUAUACCUUAACCCCUGUGACCCCUCUUCUCACUAAGUCACAUGCUACCAAGACUCUUAGAUUGCUCAGCUUGCCAGGCCACUCCUGCUGCAAAGCUCUGCUCCUAGAACUCACCAUAGCAGCUGUCACUCUACUCUGGUACACCCCUCCCUCUCUGGACAUUUUCCCAUCCUCGUUUUUCACCCGUUCUGUGUGGUAUUCCUAAAGAUUUCAUCAGUGGUUACACUCCUUAUUUUAGUAGUCACCAGCUGCCAGAAAGACUUUUAUUUUCAAGUGACAUUUGCUUUCCGUAUCUCUCUCAAGUCUCAGUGUAAUACAUGCAAAAUUGCACUCAUUAUCUUCUUAUUGCUGCACUGCCUCUGCUCCACUUCCUGGCCUCCGUCCAGAGAUGAUCCACCUUUCACGCUGCAUUAAGAAUUAUUCCAAAAUGUGGACUUGCCUUCCGGAUCACCCUGAGCAUUCUGGCUUGUAAAAGCUGUCAGUGCCACCACGUAGGAUCACGUGGUGAUUGAACAACAGGGCGGAAGGGCCUUCGCAAGCGAGGGAACAUUUGUUUCAGAUACCUCGCUCUAGCCACUCUGAGCUCUUGGCUAUUUGCCCACCAGGGCUUUCCCGUUGUCAGCCCUAUGCCUUUGUACAUUCCCUUUUCUCUAUAUGAAGUGUCUUUCUGAUCUUUCUUCACUCCUUAGAUGUACACUCAUGUUUCAUGACUCAGCUCAAAUAUCACUUCCUAUCAGUGCUUUCCUGCCUCCCACACCAGAUGAGUUGUCUCCUUCCUUUAGUCUUUAUUUAACACACACUAAUCACUUUGUAUAGAAAUUAAAUUUUUACAUGCCUAUUCUCACAACAAUGUGACCUUUAUAAGAAAAAGGUUUAUGUCUAAUUUAUCAUUAAAUGUCUAAAGUUCCAUACAUAGUACGCUCUUAAUUACAGCCUAUAGAACAGUUUGCGUAAUCUGAUUAGUGUAGUGAAUCCAUUAGUAAACGAAAAACAUUCCCCAAAUAUAUAAAAUCAUGCUAUGUUCCGGGUAGUGCUCAAAGCAGUAUAAUAUGACAAAGAACAGUGUUAGUUGAAAAAGAAAAUUGAAGUUAUUCUAUGAUGAUUACAUUCUAGUGGAGAGAUGCACAUAAUUAGUGAGAUAUAAAUAAGCAAAGCUUAAAUUUAGGUAAUGACAGUUGUUGUGAAACAAUACAGAAAUAAGAAGGAGCACUGGGGACAGUGAAGAUUGAAAUUCUACGUAUGUCUGUCAGGGAGGGCCUGAGGAUGACUUCAAGCCCUUCCGAGCUUUCAGUGGUACAGUAGUGUGCUGCGGCAUGCAAGCCAUAGGUGUAUACCGUUGACCUAAACUCCAGGAAGGAGCAAUGAUGUGGAGCUUGAGUACUUUUCUACACAGAAAGCACAGCAAAGGCACAUGUAGAAACAGGCCUGAGAUAGUUGAAACAAAGUCUUAAAAACCAGCUUGGCUGGAGGGAAGGAGCUGGGGAAGAGGAACGUUACAAGGCAAAUAUUCUGUGAUAAAUUCAGAAAUUCCUAGAGUUAGCUUAUGUAAAAGUUUUAUUCCAAGUGACAUGGGAAGCCAUUGGAGACUGGUAGACAAGUGGAAAAACUGAUGGAAUUUAAAGCAAUUAUCUGUAGUUCCAUAGAGGCAGUUACUGCUGGUAAAUUUUUGACACAGGCUUUGAAAAUAACGUUAAAGGAUCUGGAUACUGUGGUUUUCUUUCUUCCUUUUUUUUUUUUUUUUUUCUUCUCUUUUUUUGUCUUUGUCUUUAUAUGUUGUCUCUCCAUCUCUGUUGAGAUCUCUGUCUCUGUUUCUUUCUCUCUCUCUCUCACUCUGUAACACACACACACACACACACACACACACACACACAUGCAUAUAUAUUUCAAGACAGUAUUCACAAAGACAAAAGACACUAAUUCUUGGCAACAGUGUGAACACUCAAGGAGAUGAAGAAAGUGCCCUGCUCCACAUCGAUGAACAGGGAAGGAGAAAAGGGUGGCCUAGAUGCAUGCCAUUGCAAUGACGGCACUAAACAACUGGGGAUUGGUCAUUGAUUUUUUAAAUGCUGUUUAAUUUGCAAAGAGGAAAGCAUAUUAAAUGAAGAAUAAUUAAUGUAGUUAUUCUGAUUAAUUAAGUGGUCGUGUUUCUUAGAAACUGUAGCACAUUCAUAUAUAUUCAUAUAUUCAUACAUAUAUUGAUAUUGGUCUCUGUGUUGCCUUUUAAAAUUUUAAUUCUUUGGAGAAGCUUGGUAAAGUUGUUGUGUAAAGGAUGCCAUAAUUUUCUUUAUGUUUAGAUAAGGAAACCAUUUGGUUUGUUUUCUCUCUCAUUGCAGUUUCAUAGUUUCUUCAAGGUCAUACAGUUUUCUGGUGAAAUAGAUGAUAUUGGGUUUUCUAGAAUUGGGUAGAUUGGCUUUUAGGAAAUUGUGGAAGUAAAGAGCCUUGCAAAGAUGAAAAAAAAGCAAUCAAGCAGCCAACUUUAUGCCAUUCUGUGUUCUGUCCUGGAAGAUAAGUUUCUAUUUUUAGGUAGACUGAAAAGAUGGAGCUUGAAUACUAAGUUAUUGAACUUCAUGAGUUAUCUGUAUGAAAGAAUAAAAAAAAUCAAUUGUUAAUUUUUUUUCCUUAACUACAUUUUAUUGUUAUAUAAAUACAUUAAGUAUGUAAAAUAAGGUUGUAAAUAUUCAUAUGCAUUCAUAUAUAAUAGAUUUCAAAGGACCCUCUACACAAGUAUGACUGAGUUUAAAUAAAACAGUAUUUUAAAUAAAUUAACAACAGUGUUAAAUGAAUUAACAAGAAUAUACCAUUUUGAAUUUGCCAUAUACAAAUAUACAUUCUCAAACUAGACAUAGUACUCUUUGCUUAAAAUUCAUAACAUUCAAAAAGGCAGGCUUGUAUUUCUCUUGCUUUGAUUCGCAUUCUCUUAAUUUCUCUAUAAUAAAACCUAGGACGAUGAUUUUCAGUAAAAUCUCACUUCAAAAUUUUGGCAACUCCUCUCUACACUGGAAAUAGUUUGGAACAGUAUACAUACCGAACAGUGUAUACACUAAGGAAUUUUAAAACUUGUAGAAAUAUGGUAAUCAAUUUCAAGUUCAUUGUUUCUUUAGUUUUCAACAUUAGUAUUUCCAUAGGUUUAUGAGACUUCACUCAUCGAAUUUCUGCCCAAAUGUGUUUCACAGACCUGAUUGAAGGGUUGGGAUGUCAAGGAACAAGAAAGAGCAAAAAAGGGGUUUGAGGAACUUCUGACAUCCAAAAUACUCACCACGGUUAGCUUCCUGCCCUCUCACCCUCUCUCUCCAUCAGCUGCUUCUCUUUGGAGUUGGAACUCUCAUUUUAGUCCUUUUGUUUCCUUGCCUCACAUCUUCUCUCCUCUUCCCAUGGUUCUUAAGAGUUGGUGGACAUCUUUCAACCACAUCAAAGAGAAUUUAAUGUUUCUCUCUUGGUCAGUGAUGAAGGUGUCUUGAGAUGUCUGAUGGCUGUGGUGUAUUUGGACAUACGACUUAGUUUUUCCAUGUCUAUAUUAAAUGGUAAUGGUAAUUUAUUACUACUAUUAUUAUUAUUAUUUGUAAGAAAUAUACUUAAUGUAUGUGAUUUUUCUCAACUAUAGAUUUUUCUUUUGCUUAUGCUUUUGUUUCCUGUUUUCAACAUUUUUGCUGAUUCUAUCAGAUUGCAGAAAUAAAAUGACAGAAAUAAAGUCAAUAAAUUGGACAAUCCAGCAAAAUUGUAUUAUAGUAUUUAUAGAACUCCGUAUUGAACAAGUUUAAUGCGUUAUUUUCUCUAUAUGCAUGAUACUCUUCAAAGGGCCCCAUGACAAUGCUGCAACCUCUCAAAUAAGCUUAACUGGUUACCAUUAUUCAAGGAGGGUCCUUCGGUUCUGAUACCUUUCCCUUCAUACACACAAAUGUCUCUGGGAGUGCAUCUCAUCAGUGUAUAACAUGGUGCCUUCUUUCCAGUGAUUUUCAGUAGAGUGCUGUUUAUGUACUAGACUGAGAACUCUCAUUCUUCAACUCUACUUGAAAAAUGAAAUGCUUGCAAAUUCCCCUGAACCCUGAGCUUGACCACUGAGUUGAGUAAUUGCCUAAAGAAACUGCUGUUUCUAAUAUCCUCAUUAGACACUAAGUAGGAAUAAAAAAAUCUCACAGGACCUGGCAGUGAAUGGUCCAGCUGAGACCAACUUCUUGGAAAUACUUAACAUAUGAAGCCAUAGGAAAACAAUUUUCAAAUGUUUUCUGUAAAAGGUUCACUAAGGGACCAUUAAGGAAAUGCAGCCCUGCACUGCAUACCACAGGCCUGGACUAAAACCCUGCUCUUUCAAAGAACACCCCGGGUCAUUCUCAAGGAAAGUACUUUGAAGCAGCACUCUAUAAUAAAAAUAUAAUAGGGGAUACACACACACAUAAGUAGCUAUAUUUAAAUAGUUAAAAAUAUUUAUUUUUACAAAUGUACUCUUCAGUAUCUGCUAUAUGCUUUGUAAUUGUAGCACUCCUUUCAAUUUUGAAUCAGCACUGUUGUAAGUACUCAGUGACUACCCAGAACUAGUGAUUACUGAGUUAACUAGCAGGGGUAGGAGAGAAUUGCUUUUGAACCUAGUAGAUAAGCCUGCAGUGUGGGAAGGAUGAAAUGCAAUCAUGUGAUUGUAUAAAAAGAGGUUUCAAUAUGCUGGAUAUUGGCUAAAUUUGUGAAGCGUGUAUUAUAAAAUCUACGCAGCAGUAAUAUGGGUUAAAUAUGCUGAGUGCUUGAUAGAAACAGUAAACAGUCUGGCUUGAUCAGUUGACUUGCAGAACAAGAGACAUAACUGGUUUGAUAUGGUCUUGGAGCCCACCUGCCCGCCAGUGUCCUCUCCAACAAGGUAAUUAUUUUUAGGCAAUUAAAUGAAGCCCAUGUUCUUUCUAAUGAUAAAGUACCGUACAUGUUCAGGGGACUGUAUUACAUAAGGAUAUUACAAAAUACAACUUAGGAGGAGCUGGAUAAUAUUUAUAUAUUAAUUAUUUAUGCCAAUUGACCUCCUCCUCAAAACAAGCACCUUUGGAAUAGGAUGUUUUAGAGAGCCAGGUUUAAAUAUUGCGUAUUAUGAAAAUGUGGAUACUUUACAUUAAUAGCUUUUUUUCCCAGCAGUUUCUUAUUUCUUCAGAUUAGUGAUUUCUUUUCUCUUGAGGCAAUAAGAAACAUUAUAACUAAUGACAUAAAAAUAUUUACUGAUGAUUAUUUAUCAUUUUAAAUAUGUGAGUGUUAUAGAAAAUUACUAAACUAGCCUAAUACACAGUGCAACUCUGAGUGUGGCAGGGCAGGAUUCCUAACAUUCUCAUUUGUUUAAAGAAGGUUAUUUGUCAAAGUUUAUUUACUCUUCUUCUCCCUUGCUUCCUGAACGCGUGAUAUGAACAUCUUCAUUUAUUUUAGUUCUAACCUGGUUGAUUAAAAAAGGAUUCCCUUUGGUUUUAAUAGUCCUGAAUAUUCGAAGAUCAAUUGUCACUAUUAAAUAAAAAUAGUUUACCCUUUGAGGGUUUUCAAAGACCAAAGAAAAUAUUUAAAAUGGAAAACAUUUGUCUUCUGUUAUUACUGUCUUGGUCUGGAUUGCAACAGAUCUUUACUUUUUUUUUUAAUUUUAUUUAAGGGGGGAAAAACAGAAAAAGGGUACAAGUUAUACAGAAUUUCAAAAAAAUAAACAGUAGGAAAAUCACUAGUUAAUAGAUUACAUAUUGUCAUCUUAGAAAUAGUUGUUCAAGUUACAAAAUUAAAGCAUAUAAAGUGAACAUUCAAACGGUGAGACUAUAAACAGUGCCGUUCAAAGAUCCAAACAAAAAUUCAGUUAAAUAGUUAUCUAUCUUAUAAGCUUAAAUAUACAUGCAGUUAAAUCCUUUAGAGCACUUUAUUGUCCUCUUUUUUACAAUGACAAUUACACAUUUUGGGUUUUAUUACUCUCACAGUUCUUAUUACUUGUUUUUGAAGAGAAUAAAACCAAAUAUGACAUAACAAAACAGAGUCAGUCAAAUCAAAAGGAUGAACAUAGUACAUAAUGUAAAAACAGAAUACAACAUGAUCAACAACGGUUACCAUAAUGCCUCUUGCUAUCUUAAAAAGAAUUGCCUAUCUCAUCAGUUAUAAUAAAAUUGAACAACAGUAAAGAACAAAACCAAUAAAACCAAAACACUGGAGACAUUACAGGACUUCAAAAUAAGAUAAUAGUCAAACCGGAACGGGCAUCAUAGUGAAUCUUACUGUCUUCACAGUUGUUGCCUAUACUCUCAAACUUGGUGCUAUCAAGCAAAACAGAAUAGAGGAAAAUCAGUCAAAACAAGAUGGUGAGAGCAAUUCAGGGUUUCAAAUCAAGUUAAUAGGGAAUCAAAGUGGGCUACUACAAUAUAUCUUGCUAUUUUUUAUUUAUUUUUCCCUUAAUUAAAAAGAUAAAAAUAAAACAAAUAAAUAAUAAAAAUAGGAGAUGAGAUAAAAGAGGACAUAACAACAAAACAGCACAGGUCAGCACAUAACCAUUUAAGCAAAAUAGUGUUUCACCACAAGAUAUCCCGACAUAAAAGUAGUUACCAUAGUGUCUCUUUCCUUGAAAUCUUUGAGUAUAACUUGGUAAACUGUAGCAUCAAACAUAACAGAUCUUUAGAUUAAGGCAACAAGUACUUUGAAAAUUCAAAGUCAGUUGUAAAAUACAGAAUGUAACCAAACACAAAAUCAAGUAUCCAUGUUAUUUCUUUCAGUUAUUAGGAACAGAAUCAACUUACUGGAGCCUUAUUUAUCUAUCAUUAAAAUGAAACUACGUACAAUCAGAAUGUUCCAAACUUGAUUACUCACUUUAAUGAGAAGGGCAUAGAUAAAUGACAAACAGCAAUUUAAGUAUAUUAUAUUUGGCCUAAAAGACAUUAUGGCUUUAUUUUCUUAUUCUCAGUGUACAAUGAUUAAUCAGUGAGUUAGGGUGUCUUAUUUCCUUCUUAGAAUUUUGUGAUUCAGAGAAAGUCAAAUUAGAGUUAAAGUGUUGGGUAGACUGUUCAUCACAAAGAUCGCUGCAUAAAAAAUUCAGAGGAAACAUCUUGAAUGCCAGGAGCUUCCUUAAAUUAGUUAUAUGAGGUCUUCUCCUGAUGUAGAAGACAGCCGUGGAGGCUUAGAAACAUCUCUUACUGUUGAGGGUACAUUCAUUACCACAUCAGUAAAUCACUGUUUCGCCAAGUACAGCUGUUACUCAAGGGUAUAGCUGUCUAGUCAGAAGCAGGAAAUAUAAUCCCAGAGUGCUCUGUCAGCCUGGGAUUUCAGGAUCAGUUUUGUUUUUGAUCUUAGUAUUUCUCAAAUCCCUUUUCAUUAAUGAUGAAAUAGCGUCUCAAUAGCCUCAACUACCAUUUGGAAGAGAAAAGAGAAGAUUAAACUGCUCACAUCCUAGUAAUUUGAUCUCUAAGUAUCUUCUUGCUUUAUCAUAUAUACUUCUAUUUUGGUAAAUUUAGAGAAUUUAAGCAUUAAUUUUCUGUGUAACCUUUAUGUUUUGUAAUGCAAUUAACCUGAAAUACAAGAAAAAACUAACCCCGAAAAAAUAGAGGCUUAAAAAGGAAGGGUGCUACCCUAUGUAUGUAAGAAAUUUCACACAAUUCACUUACAUCUAGAUUUUCUGGCAGAACUGUUUCUUCUCAUUUAAUACAUAGUUGUAGCAAAUACACUUAUUUUUAUAUCCCUGGCUUGGUUCAAGCCGUCAAUUAGGAUCUGAACACAUAGCGUUAGUAAGAUACAUAUUCUAUUGUCAGUAGUAAAUAAUACCCAAAUGUAAGGAAAACAUGUAAGUGAAAGAGAGAACCAUUAUAUGCAUCCAUGAAGGUAAUAUACAUCCAUAACAUCGGAUGAUAUGGGUGAGCAUAAUUAGUAUUACUCAAGAAUCCCUGGUCUGUAUUUAUAACAACUAUGAAUCUUUGUGUAGGCUGUAAGGGUUCAAGUUGAUAUGGAAAAUAUUUUAGAAGACUUCCACUCAAAAAUGGUUAAAUGUGUGCUUAAUGAAUGUUUUAUCAUAAAGAGUUAAUAUUUGUGAGAAUUCAUGGGGCAUCUAAUUUUAAAUAACUAUUCAAGGACAUACUGUUAUCAAGUGUUUAUAGCUUAUAAUUUACCCUAUUGGGUUUAUCUGUGCAACAGUGCUUAUUCAAUUUUUGACUGCAGAUUUUUCAAAGACAUAAAAGUAGAUAUUAUUGUUACGUCUUUAUAUGACCUUGAAAGAAAUGAAGUGUGCAAAUGAAAUUUGUUAACUUUGAAAUACCGUAAGUUUCAGUAGAUUUUUAUUGUUCUAUGGGAUACGUACUGAAGUCAAGUGCUACUUAAUGGGCAAUAAUGAACCAACUGAAUGUUUGCCCUUUUAUCACAUCUGCAUCCUUGCAUAUGUGAUCUGCCUGAGAAGUGUCUUGGACAAGUUAAUAGGACACUGAGCAAGAAUUCAGGUACUUGUGUUCAUGCGAGAAGGAGAGUUGAAAUGGCACUAGGGAGCUAGGGUGUCUCAUUUCCUGCACAUUAUUUCUGGAAAGUACCUAGGAUGAUAAACUUUAGAUUAUGCUGUUGGCCAGCCACCUUGAAAAAGCCCUCUUAUACUGAUACUCAGAUCUCAUUUUACUACUUCAAAUGUGAGCCAAAAAGACUUAUCAGAGGCAUCUGGUGGCUCGUGCAUUAUGUUCAUAGCCUUCUGGCAUGGAAUACAGGUUAUAAAAUGUUCUCAGAAAUUUUUCUUUAACAAUCUCAAUUUAUGUUGUUUUCAUUGGUUUGUUUUAUUUGGUACCCUUAGACCCUUCUGUACAAAGUUCUGCUCUUGCUGAUACUGUACUUUCUUGGGCUUCAAAUUAGAGAUUCUCUAUGGGUUCACCGAAUUAAGGUUUUGUUUUCAUGAUUGCAUUUUCUAUACAUUUUAAUGUUCAUUUUGAGGAUCUAAUUGUAAAAUCUAAAAUGUCGAGGAAAACUAAGUUUAAGUAGUCGUGUGUGCUUAUAUGUAGAUAUUGCACACAAUUUAACCAUUUACUCUGUUUUCCAGUGAGAGUAUGAGGAGUGCAGGUGUGAAAGGGUGAGGGAGGAUUUAAUGGUUGACAGAGUAAAAGAAGGUACCAAAGGAUUUGUGGCAAUAAUGACUUCAGAUGUUCAGGUUAAUUAAUUAGUUCAUCCCCCACUUGUUGUUAGUGCUUUACUAGAAGGUAGUCAGCUCUGUUUAGCCAGUGAAUCAGUCAGAGGGGUGGGUCAAUUAUCCAACUUGCAUAUUUAUAAUUGGGAGACAGUGGGAAGGAGAUAAAUUGCCUUGAGACAAAAAAGAGAACCAAUGACGCCUGCUAAGAGACGCAAGUGGGCUUAGAAAAGACGUCACAGGAAAGAGAGGCUUAGGAAGGUGUCCCAGAGGGAUGGAUGCUUCCCUUUGAAAGUAGGAAAAAGAGAAACUGAUUCUAGUGAAAAGGGCCCUCUGAUUGUAAAAAUGGCAAUAUAUCUCAAGUAAGAUUUAGUAUUAGAAUUACAAAAUUUAAGAGUUUCUCUAUGUAGAAUUUUGAAAUAUGCAACUGAAAUUCAAUGCUAGAUUACUGUUUUCCUUUCUUUUGUAAGAAGUGAUUUGCCUAACACCUUAUCAUGUGGUAAUAGCAAUGGUGUAUGUUUUAGAAUUAAGAUUUUUAUGAUGCAUGCAUUAAUGUAUGGAAGAAAAACAUAAUUUUUAAGUCUAUUUAAUUAAGGUACUGGUGUAUUUAUAAAUGUCAUAGAAUGUUUUACUUGUAGAAGUACUAUAUUAUAGAAAACAAACAUAGAAGAUAUCUAUUUGUACCUACAAGAGUGUGGGUAUACAUCAGUAAAAGAACAGCUUCUUUAUACAGGAAAAAGUCAAGAAGAAAACGUUAUAUUUUAGAAAUACAUUGGACAGAAAAUUAUGAAGAAAUUUUUUCUAGACUACACCUGAUUCAUGUGUUGUGAUAGUUAUUGCCUCUUUAAUCUUUAAUCCCAUGUUUUAGAAUAGAACUAUAUUUUGGAAUUAAUUCAUUUCAAUUGUGAAUAAGUGUAUAAAUGUACUAUCCAAAAUGGUCCUACACCUAUGAAAAUAUAUGCAUGAAGUUUCAUCUGAAAUAUCCAUUUUAGUUAUGUGCAAAAUAUUCUUUGGGCGAGUUUGACAUAUAGCAUGUUUUAUUGAUGUAAUUCUCACCAUUUUGUAAUUCCAUAUUAGGUUUUAAAAAUAGUAGUGGAGUGUAAAUAACUUAGCCAUUAGGAAUUCCCCUAGUAAUACCAUAUGGCCACUCAAAUGUUCAUAAUAUCUUUUUCCUGAGCAGCUAAGAUUACCACUGUCGUACAUUUAAUGAUACAACAUUUAGGUAUGGAUUUGUUACAAAGGAAGAUGAAUUAAGCUUCUUGGGAAUGUAGUUUUUGUUUAAUAUGUUCUCAGGUAAGAAUUAGCAGUCUGCAGUCAUCCACUUUCAACUAUGAUCUAAUGGGAACUCUAGAGCUAAAUAAGAACAGGGGUGAUUAGCCUUUAGUUAGUAGCAACCCCUAGGGAAAGCUUCAGUGCUGCAGGAAGUGAAGGCUAAUGAUUCAUCAAGCGGUAAACUUGCCUCUGAGAGAUUAGCGAACGGGCAACUUCACAGCUCACAGUGCUGCCUCUUUUCUAACCACUCUGAGUUUUGCUACAGAAGUCCAAAGGGCAUUUUAAAAAGAGGACAGGGUUGGUAGCAAAACUGUGAAGAUCUGUUUGAAACUCAGACUCAGAUACAAAUCUUCCUUCCAUUUGGGGUAGGAAUCCUUAGAGGCUCUGCCAACAAUCAGGAAAUCCUUGUCUCCCAGAGGUACUGAGUUCAAAUGAGUUUUAGAAUUUAAACAAAACAGUAAAAUCAGAUCCUGCUUCUGAGGCAUACUGAGGUAUCUACCUUGUGGUUUGGAGCACUGAACUAGAAACUUGAAAUAAUUAAAAAUUUUUUUAGAAAAUCUUCUGUAGUGCCCAUUAGCUUCUGCAGAAUGGAAAAUUAGUACUGUUGCCUUAAAACCACUAAAGGAGCUGGCAAAUUUCCAGUUUGUGUAACUCAACUCUUUUCUUUCAAUGGUAUAGUUUUAUCAGUUGAAAAUGAUAUCCACUGUUCUUUCUCAGAGAAGGUUGUUUAAUAAUCUUUUCAUAGUCAUUGUUAUUUAACAAUGUGGUAUUCAGAAUCAAUGUGACAUUCCAAAGGUAAAAGGGAUAUUUAAAAAAAAAUUUUACCCUAUUUUUGGCUCAGAUAUUCUUCAUUCAUAUAUAAAUCUGUGGCUAUCACUUGAAUAAAUCUAAUAGUGUGCAUUAAUUAAUGAAUAAAACUAUAAAGGUUUGGCACGUGUGUCUUGCUCACUCUGUUCAUUUUUGUCUAAUUUAAAAAUUGCAUAUACAUUUACUAAGUUUAUUGGCUAUUAUCAUUAGUAUGUUUACAUCUUCAGCUGACAUUUGCUUAUGACUAGAAAUGUCAGAACUUUUUAAAAUGGGGGAAAUUAGAAAUUACAUUUCUUACAUAGAUUUUCAGGGACAAAAUCAAAUUUAGGAGGUAGUGAUAGUUUCAGCAGUUAAAAACUGUAGAAUUUUUACAACCCAAUCAAUCUAGUAUUGAUUAGCCAUGAUCGUGUUUCCACUCCCAUACAUUAUUUAAAAUAAUUGAACAUGAUGAGGAACACUGUUGAGGGUCAAAUAAAUGUUUUCAUAGCAAUUACUAGCAGACAUUUCCUUUCCGAUAAAUUCCUUCAAAAUACAAGCCAGGUUGGCAUGUAACUCAGUACAGAUGAGUCAAGUUGUGAGCAUCUACAUAUUUCUGGAGAAACCACUUGCAGAGGUGCAGGCUUGCCCGCACCAGGACUUCCGGUGCACAGAGAGCAUCCAGCCACAUUUGCCUCUGGACCCCACUGACUUGGCUGCAGCACAGCCCCUUAGGCCCUGCUGCCAGAUCAGGUGUGGAGGAGCUGUGGAGCUGUCACUCCGCAUGGCUUCCUGCAAGUCAGCUAUCUCCUUCCCAUCUGUGUGGAUAUUCUUUCAUGCCUCUUAGCUGGCAUAGAAUAUAUUUGUCUGAUAAGCCUCCAUUUGACCUUAAGAUUUCCCAGGUUUCAACUCAAAGCAAAAUUUCUUCAUGCAUGCAUGUGCCUUUAGUUAUGUGAGUUAUUAUGACAUAAUUCUUUGAGUUCUUUUAAGAUAUACUCCACCAUGCAUGUUAGCAUCCAUUUAUGCAUUGGCCUUCCACUUUGGAGGGUCUUAAAUCAUUCAGAACUACCAUAAUGCAAGAAUUAUUUGCUUUGAAAUUUAAAAGACCAAAUGUAAAAUUGCUUAUAUGUAUAACUUUUAUUUUGCUUCACUUUUUUAUAAUUCUCUUGAGAAGUCACUGUUCAUCUGCAUUUACCUUUCAGUAGGAAUUUAUUCAGAUAGUUUUAUUGUUAAUAUUUGGGUGAGCCAUCCAGCAAAGCCAGGCAUAGAUUAAAUAGGUGAUGCUUUUUAUUCCAUAAACAUUUUUUCUUUAGCUAAUGCUUGGUUAUUUAUGCUUUGAACCACUAAUUGGCAUUUUCAGCAAUAUUCCUGUUUAUGCAGCUAAAAUUUAGCUCAAAGCAUCCAAUCCUGCAGGCUUUUCACUUACAAAACACCCAUUGAAUUUAUUAGGAGCAGUGUACUCCUGAUAGCUACUAACACAGGCGUGGUGGGUACUCUUGAGUUGAAAAAUGAAAAGACAGAUGAUUCAGGAACACCAUGCUCUGAUUAGAGGGCCAUUUACAGCUUCCUCUGUUCACAGAGUAACAUCACUUCAUGUUCUGUUUUCAAACAAGUAAUAUUUGUUCUAAAAGGAGAUUCCUUUAGUGCACUAAGUUCCAGUUGUCCUCCCAUGAAACAAUCCAUCGAGUUUCCUAUUUCUGCAAGGAAUAAAUUAUUAUUGCUUUCAUGUAUUUUGGCAAUUUCUUUAUUUAUGGAAGUGUGUUUUGAAAUGGUUUAUCACUUUCUGCUUUUAAACAUUAAGAAUAGUAAGGGGUUCUUGGCCCUAUUACCUGAUGAAUUUGUUAUGGAAACUGGGAUGAAGUAAAUGGACAGGGAAAUGUGUAACUCAGGUAAGAAUAGAGUGCUCUGUGAUAGCUAAUACGUAUCUGUCCUUUUAGGUUCCUUCUCUCCAGUGGUGCUAAUUGAGUGCCGCAUCAGCAGACUAAUCUGGUUUAGAAGUUAUAGUAUCAUCAGUGUUAUGCUGUGUUUCAGGUGAUCUUAAACUAGAAGCUGGUCAAAAUUCUGAUUAAACAUAUAAGAUUGAAAUGCAACUUCCUCCUUGAAAAAUUCGAAUAUUAAAGAAAAAGGAUCAUUAAAUAAUUAUCACCAGAUCUUAUUUGUUACAGCUGAAGCUAUGCAAGGGACACUAAAAGGAAGGGUGGGAAUAUUGUAUACCAUUUAUCUUUCAAAAACCAUCACUCUGGGUGUGGUGGCACAUGCUUGUCAUUUCAGCACUCAGUAGCCUCCAGCAGGAGGAUUGCUAUACCUUUGAAGCUAACCUGGGCUACACAGUGAGUUCAAGGUCAGCCUGAAUUGUACAAUGAGUCCCUAUUUCCAAACAAAACAAGUCAUGAUAUACUACAAAAUGUAUCCUCACUUAGUGCAACUUAUUUUUGCAUGACAAAAUGCCACAAGUGAAAAAGUAGCUUAGACUGAAAUGAAAUAAUAUAAAAUGUAAACAUUAAAUUGGGUCUUCUCAGGGCUGUGAAGGUCAUAUGCCAGAACAUGAGACUAACAAUUCAUAGACAAAAUAUAUCAACUGAAUGCUCUAAAUAAGAAACUCAUGCUAUUUGAUUGGUUUAUUGUCACUACAUGGAAAUAUUCCUUUACAGUCUUCUACAUAAUUUCUAUUAUUUUUUUUAAAGUACUUUUAACCUUGUUACAAAAAGCCUACCAAGUUUGAACAGUCCUAGCUAGAUCUGAAAAUGACUACUGCUAAACCAGGAUUAUGGGGAAACUUAGAAAUUUUUCUUCAUUAUUAGCUAAACAAAACAAGACCAUACACAGAAGCUCUUGCAUUCUGGGACCCAAACCAAAAGCAUUUAGCAAUUUGGCUCUGCCUACCUUCAGAAAACCCAUAAUUUCAUUCUAGGAUCUGGACACUGUGAUGCAGUCAGAGGAUCCUAACAGUUAGGGAGGGCUUAGCAAUUGCUCAGUUCUGUUUCUCUGGCACAUAAGAUCUAAAUUAUGUCUCUUGAGCUCUUUGCUUCUCACAAAAGAAAAAUACAUGGAAAUUUUAUACAUAAAUGCGAUUUGCACUUGUUUUUAAAAAUAAGAUGCUUGAAUUUAAAAAGUUGAUGUAUUGCACUUUCAAGAUUUUAAUUAAUGGUAUAUUUUCUUUAAUUUUUACAGACAAGGAAUCAGGCAAAUAUGUAGUCCUUUUGUUUUUAAUUGUGUAAAUAUUUUUGUUCACAAUAUACUUUAUGAAUUUUUGUUUAAUAAUAAUGGAGUUAGCAAAAUGCUAGAGAAGGGUCUAUAGGUAGUCUUUAUUUUUAACAUUUUCGAUAGCCAUCUUAAUAACACUAAUAAAAUGCUUUAAUAAUAAAAACCAAAAUGAAUAUUUUUAAUUAGCCCACUAGGUUUUCAGUAAGAGAACAUAAUUUAAGGCGCAUUAUUCAAAGAUGAAGAAGACAUGCAACCUAGUCUUUAACAAUAUAUUAGAAAUUCAAGAUCUCUCCCUCCCUCUCUCCUCCUCUCUCUCUUCUAAACCCUUGCAUUCUCUCUUCUUAUACUGAAGAUGAUCUUUUUUAAAAAUUCAUUUUUUCUAUCAACAAGAGGAAAAAUAGGGCCAGAAAUCAGUAUAUUAUUGAUUUUUACAUUAUGUGCUUUAUUAUAUACAAAAAUCUUCCUGAUAGCCUCUGGGUAACAAUCUUAAGUGACAAGGAAGGAGUCUGGUUCUAACUCAGUUUAAAGCUGUCACUUCUUCCCAUCAGACACGUUCAGGAGAAAAGUAUCAUGAGACAGAAAUACGCCUUUAGAGGGACAACCUUUCUUGUUAGGUGUGGUUUUUCUAAAGAAAAAGAGAGAUUGUUGUAUGUUAAUAAGCCUGAUAAUGAUAAAUAUGUAACAUGUUCCAGAAUUUGUGCAUUUAUUGACAGCAUCCUGUAUAGCUGUUAGUAACGUCCUAGAUGUUUUAAAAGUAUUUUUCCAUGCAUUAUUUCAUUAAUCUUAAUAAUUUUCUUAUCAAGGUAAAUACUAUGAUUUACAUUUUAUACUGAGGAAUUCCUGAUAAAUCUUGAGUUACACAGACAAAAGUCAAACUUAUGCCUUAUGAUUUUUUUCCAGAACUUUUGACACUUAAAAACUGCCUCCAUUCUGCCGGUUCCAGUGAUAGUCAAUAAUGUGAAACAUCAAAAUUGAUCAAAUCAAACACUCCUAUUGACCUUUAUUUAGUGUCUUAUGAAGUUUGCUUCAUAAUUACAGUUUUUUUUUUCUUCCUCUUGUCUCUGAUUUGUCUGCUGGCAAAUAUAUCACAAAGGAAUGCAAUAGGUUGCAAGUAAUGGACUCAACAUGGUAAAAUGAGGUGUUUACUUUUUAAGUAAGAUUGUAGAAACAUCAGUCAGCAUAUUUCACUGCAAAAUCAUGAUGCUGCUCUCCUGUGACCACCAUGCUUAGUAUUUGGUUUUCCUUUCAUAAUCAGAAGGGAGCUGCCAUUUCCAAGUCUAUUUCCAUCUGUUUCAGGUAGCUACAAAGAAGAGGGAUAAAAAGGGAAAGGAAAAACUUUCCUUGAACUCAUUUGCUUUGUAUUCUGGAAGGACGCCUAUGCCUGUGUCUUAUUGCCUAGAGCUGUGUCUAGGGCUUUCCCUGAUGCACGCUGGGUCACAGAUAUGUUUGUUGUUAGCUUUGAUGGCAUAGGAAAACAAAAGACUGGAACAUCUUAUACUCACUGUCUUACUGGGACUGGAAGUAAUAACUCAGGCCCGCUACCACAUGCUGCUAAGUCUUCCCACACUCGUUGGCUUCACUAAUGCUUUUUCAGCAUUUUCUUUGCUCAAUUGAAUGACUCCAAUUUCUUUUAACUCUCUUAAUAGGAUUGCCUUCCAUCUUUUUUCUGACCUCCUGAGCCUCUUUCAUUGAUUUCUUCUGAAUCCUUUUCUGUAUAUAUACCCAAGAGGGUAUAUACUGACAUACUCCCAAAAGAAUACCUGAGAAUCAUCUUAUUCUGUGUCCUUUCUUUGCAUUUUAUAGAUAACACUGGAGGGACACAGUUGCAUAGAAAGUUAGUGAACCAAAUGUACUCUCCAAGCCUCCUAACUUUUUAAAGCUCUACUAAAUAAGUUUUUGUUUUAUAUAUGAUGAAACUUAAGAGUGGAGUAAAACCACUGACAUAUAUAAAAUGUGUUUUACAGAAAAAAAAUUUGACGUCUAUCAUCUAAAUUUUAUAGAAUGCUAACAUAUGACAGGCAAGAUAAAAAGCUCCAUCUAAAUCCUCAACUGUUUACUGUGUGUCUGCUCUGGGCUAAGCACUACAAAAGCCAGGGAAACACAUGAGAACAAGAAAGAGAAGACUUUUGCCCUUACAGAGUUUCUGUCCUGGAUAUAUUCUUAUGUGUGUUGUUCAUAUAGUAAGCAGACAUUUUUAAAUGACUAGUCUGCAUCCAGCCCUAAGUACUGGAGAUGCAGUUCAUUAUGUGAAAGACAAGAUUCUUGGUGUUACUGAACAGUGAAGCCAAAAUCAUCCUAUGUUCUAAGGACAUAUGGGGAAGAAUUCGGACCCCAUCUUCCUCUUACUGAUUUGUAAUUAAUUCAACAGCAGAACGCUUCCUCAUAUACAUUUAAUGAUAUAUUUCUUAAUUUGAGGAUUAGAGUAGUUCAUUAGCUUGUUUUUAAUUGUAGUAUAUUCUUUUUUUGGCUUCUAUGCAAUCUAGCUGGAUUUAAAAAUAUAUCUAAAUUUAAGUGGAAAUUUAUUGGACUCAAUUUUAACAACUUUGACUCUUUCUGCCUUUAUUCCGUUGUUUUAUUGAAUUGAACUUCAAUGGAAUCUUUUAUUUGUCUAAGUCUAUUUCUGUCUAGUAAGGAAGUUGAAAUUGAUCAUGCCUUGACUUUGUGGGCCAUCAGAGAACCAUGACAUUCCAAGGUAUUGAUUUUGUGGUGUUAAAGGGUGACAGAUCUAGUGUUAAAGUGCUGAGAGAGAAUUGGGUUUUGGAUUGUACACCAUAAGCAGUGUCAGCUUUUGCUGAGACAUGACUAGCUUUUUAAAGUAAUGUAGGGAGUUAAAAGUCUUAGAUAAUUUUUAUUGUAUAAUCCUGGAGGGAUUAAUUUCAGCCAGAACUGUAUAAUUAUGCAUUUACGGAGAAAAAGUUCCACACAUGAUAAAUAUGCAUACUACACAUCUAAAUAUAUACAACUCAGACUGUAUUAGUAUGUGUGUGCAUGUUUAUGUACACUUUGUGUUAAGAAUAUUCACUUAUUCAUAAAUGUUUCCAGUUUGUGUGACUGAACCUUUCCAAAACACACUUACUUGGGACUUGUUAAUAAUAACAAGUUUAGUUGUUGUUUCUAUACCUUUUUCCUUUCUAUUAAUUAUUUUGAAAUGUCUUUCUGUUGUGCUUUCUCUGUCUGUAAGGUCUGAAUUAUGGUUCCCACAAUUCAGAAAAGCCAGAAGCCUACAAGUUUAAAGCUUGGAGAUUUUUUGUUACCUUCUGGGACAUAGACUGUUGACACAUUAUACUGUAACAGUUACUACACACACGAACUGAGGAAGAGUAACCAUGUCCAUCUUUCACUGUCUCAUUUUUCCAUGGGCUUAUUUUUUUUUUCAGUUUGAUGACCUUUAGUGAAUACAUUGAAAAUAACAGUUUGAUUACAUGAUUAUCGUGCAGAAAAUGCUACUGAACUAAGUCUAUCUUUAGAAACUAAUCAGAGGUGCACCCGAUUCAUGGACUUAAACCAAUCCAUCAUAGUCAUCUUUUAAUUUAUUUCCACAUGUUCUUCCAAGUUCCCAUUCUUGCCUAAGAUUCUGACCUGCAAAGAAGAGUAGAAUGCAUUUUAUAAUGUAUGUUUGUUCUAUUUUCUAACAACGUAAGUAUUUUGCUUAAGCAGAUUUGCUAGGAAGUGACAGCUUUGAAAAAUUGGACACAAGAGCUGCUGGAAGCAUUUCAGUUCCAAGCAAUCUAAAUAGUGCAGAAGGGGAAAAUGAAAUAUCACUGUGUUUUAAAGAUGACAGUUUUGUCAAAGAUUCCUUUUCAGUCUUUGGCUUAAAACAAAUCGAGUAAAUCAAGUAUAUAUCUCUUCAGAAUAUGGAGGAAUCAGGGAGGAAACUCACCUUCCUAUGAGCAUUUUUUCAGAUGUUGGAAAUAAUGUCAUUUUCUUUGCUUACUUUUGGUUUGGUAUAUUGGGGGCUGGGUCAUGAGACUUUUCAAUAACAGUAGUACCCUUAAGGUCACAUAGGCUUAGCAAGUAUAUAAUUAUGUACACAUAUUGCUCGCUCUUCAUAAAUAUGAUUAUUAUUUGUUAUGCAGUUUGGGGGGGCAGGUGGGAAGGAGUGUAGUUAAUUGAAAAUCAAAGAUUAGAAGCUAAAAGUUUCUUAGGACAUGUUAAAGUAUGAACAUUCAUUAAAAAUGUUUGUUUUGGGGGUGUAUUUGGAAAGGUACAGCAAGUUUAAAUAACCUGGCUUUAAGAAUAUUUACCUGUAUUUGUAGAGGCAGAGACUAUUAUCAAGUUAAGAACAAAGACAGGAGGGUGAGACUUUGUGGGUUUAAAAUUCCUGUGAUUCCUUGAUUUUAGAUCUGAGAUUUGGGAUCAGUCAGUUUCUCAGAUCCUGAUACCCUUCUUUGUUGAAUGUAUUACUGAUAGUAUCUGCUUCCUGAAAACCUUGCCAGUAAGCUUCAAACACUCAAGAGAGUGUUAGCUAUUCUCACUAAUUGAAAACAUUUAACUUGUGAGAAAGCCAAAAAUAUCAGCAUAAAGUUUUUAAAAAACAUAAUACUUAAGAUGAGUUAAAAACUCAAAAUUCUCAGGAAUUCUGAAAUAUGUAGUUUAUGUUUCAUUCAGUAGUAAAAGAAUGUUAAUCACGUUUUUUUAAAAAAGCAUUGUUGAAAUUCAUUUAUUGUAAAUGUGUAUUGUGUCUGUAAUGUACAUUGGAAAUCAUAUGAUAAUCACCAGUAAUUUCUCACUUUCAGAUGCCAUACACAGUCAGUAGAUGGUUUUGGGAUUGCAGGUCAUUCUCAGUUGUGAUGCUGGCAUUAGAGAUAGCAGUAAAUGCUAGUAUAAUUUAAUUAUAAUUUUUCCCACUCACCUUUAGCAAGAGUAAGGAAUUUCAGUAUGGUCACUGUUUCAAACUUUCAUUUAGUAUGUUACAUUUAUUAUAUUCUUGUUCAUUUUUGUGUUUAAUUUGUCUCUUAUUAAAGAGAUAUCUGUAGCCUGACAUUAUCUGCAUUAUAACUUGAUCCAAUCCAUAAAACCCCCGGAUUCAUUACAGUAUAUAUUAUUUUAAAAACUUACAACAUGAUUUAUUUAUGCACUUUACUUCAUUUUAGAGCCUAUUGGCUUUUCAUAUUAAUAGGAUUGUCAUUUUUAUGUAUGAUCGACUUCUUGGUAUAAGUUGGCUCUGAGCCAUAAUAUCAUCUAUCCUUUUAACUCUUUGGAAACAUUAACUUAUUUUCACUGCAUUAGUGCAGACUUAAUUUUAUUUCAUGUCCAAGAUGACAAAGGUCACUUCAUUAGGCACCUCACUUGCCUUUCUUCCCCUGUAGUCUUUUGGUAUCUUAGGCUAAGUAUCAUAAAAAAAUGUUCUGCUUCCAUUAACAAAAAGUGAGUAGAGAAGAAAAAGCCAAUUAUUCGCAGCACAUAAAAUCCUUAUGAUAAUUUGGUAGACUUUAAUUAAACUAAUACAUCACACUGCACUUAUAAGACAAAGGAUAAAGAGAGAGAAGCAAAUUGUCUCUUUCUUUCUGUUGAGAAACACCAUAUUGCUUUGUGAUUAAGCUUUUUAAGCCUUGUGACCUAUUUUAAAGUGUAAGAUUUGCAGUCUUCUUCAUGUAAUAGGCAUAUUAAGUAUAUUAACAUCUUUAUGUGGUAUUGAUUGAAACCACCUUCAAAAUUUGUCAUACGAAACUAUAACAAAGCUUGGCUUAAAAUAAUUUUUAUUAACUUCUUUUGAUUUUUCAAAUAAAGAGAAUGUGAAAAUUUAUCCCACAUAUAAAUAUAUUUAUGACAAAGAAUGUUGUUUUGGUAUUUAGUAUAGUUGUAUUUCUUGCAUUACAUUUUUCUUUUUCAUUUGCUUGUCAACUGAUAGUGGUAAUGUAAAGUCCACUAUCAAUUAAAUGGGUGUCUAAGUUUAACACCUGUGCUGCCUGAAUUUUACACCGGGGUAAACUGGGGUUAGGUAAACUGGGGUUAAAGACCAGAGGUCUUUAUUGAAAUAGUCACAUCUUUAAGUCUUCAAAUUCUGUCACCUCUCUGGGUUUCAGAAAUUGUCACUGGAAAAAGGUUUAACGUGGUAGAGGCAAAAUCCAGAUGGCAUCCUUAUCUCUGAAAUAACAUUUGUGCAUUGGUUAUUCACGAAAUUACCCUCUGUGCACUAAAAUCAAUAUGUAAAUAUAUUCAUGUCAAUCUUUAAAUCAGCGUCUUAGUAUUUGCAAAAGUAUUUGUGGAAAAACUUCUGCAAAUUUCUAAUUGUCAGGAAGCAUAGAUUUUUGAAGCUGGUUUACCACAAAUCACUUUAACAUAGAAUCAUAUUUAACAUAGAAAUUAAUCUUUUAUCAGCCAAAGGGAUCACAUAAUCACUGUGCCAAUUCUCACCUUUUAAAUGUAUCCUUUCAAAAGCAGGAAGUCAGUUGGUUAAAUCUGCACAUUUUGUCUUAUCGCACAUGUACAUUUUCAAGUCUCAGUUAAUUCCUCAGACAUUUAUUAUGUUUGUCUUUAGUGGAUCAAACUCUUAGUGGGUUUAUGCAUCACCUGGAAACAAUUUGACUGCCUUCUAGGCCCAUUUGUGAGUAUUCAAGGCUCCCCAAGUAGCUCUCAAUUUUUCAGGCACAUGAUUGCAAUUUCAGUGGCAUUUAAGGACAGCUGAGCUUGCUAUUCACUUCAUCUUCUCAUUAACAUCUAGUCCCUGUUUCUCUCAGCAGCUUAUUGCUUUGGCACAUGCAUACUAGCCAGCAUUGCUUUUGUUUCCAAAGGUGGCUAAUAUCAUGGUCCAAAGAGGAUAAUGAUGAUAGUUUAAGUUUGUGUUAUUUUGCACGUUUAUUACAAGUGUUAAGAAAUGCCCUAAUGCUCAGCUUUGGCCAAAUUUAAGUGAAGCCUUGAGAUGGGGUCCAUUCUGCUUAUUUAGCUGAUAGGAACAUUUGAAUUGAUCUUCAUACCUCUUUGACUCAGAAAAUGUGAUAUGUAAAAUUAAAGCAAGAAAAUAAAAUUAUGAUCUAAUAUAUAAAUGAUUUAAGAUUUUAUAAAAGGGUGUUCUUGCGUAGCAGUCUAUAAGGACUUUAUUACAUUAGUGUUCUCUAUAUAAAUAGCUGUUUCAGUGGCAGACUCUAUCUUCUUGCAGUUAAUGACUUAAUUUUCCUAUACAUUUGUAAUUGAGGGAGAAUUUUGUUUUAUUUUUCCUAUUACACUGGUUCCUACUAUAUGUGACUUUGAACUAAAUAAAAAAAAGUACGGAAAACAACUCAGGACAAAUUUGGAAGGAGAUCUCCAAGGGGAUUUCUCACAGCUUUCUGACCUCAUUGCUUAUCUUCUCACAAAUCCCCCACUGCUGGAUGCCAUUUGCUCUUCUUUCCAUGGAUCAACAGCUUAGACAUUUUUGAAGACCCAGAUUUAAAUUCCAUUUAGGAAUUUAAAAUACUCUUCCUAGAACCCUCACCAGAGUUGCUUCUCAAUUUGAUCUUUCAUAGUUUUACCUACCUAGCUCUUUCUUUUUCUCUCCAAGGUUACCAAUUCAUUUAUUUUCAUAUAUUUAUGUAUCUUUUGAAGAGAUCUUCAAAAGAUACAUAAAUAUUUCCUGAAAACCAGGGCUGUCCCUGAGGUUGCAAGGCAUUUCCUUCUAUGCUAUGUGUAUGACUGGACUCUAUAACCUUUGUCAUUCUUUCUAACACUGAGAUUCCAUGCUUCUAAAAGGCAACUAGUCAAUAAAUAUUGAUUACUUUGCUAUUCAACCUAAGUCAUUCUGUUCCAAGGCCCCAAAUUUGUCAUAUUUUGAAGUCAAGGCCAAGUACUUAUUUUAUUAUCCUCUUUGCUUACAUGGCCAACUGAAUAGUUGACUAAGAAUCUGAAUCUCAUUUUUUAUAAGAGUUUGGUUGAAACUGUUGGUGAAAGUCUCCGUGUGUAUGGGUGUGAGUGUUCAACAUGUGAAAGGCGAGAGGGUUCAGGUUUCCUUUCCUACCAUUUGGCAAAAUUGAUCUUGUUUCCUUUUAUUUCUUUUAUUUAGAUAACUUUAAGGUAUGUUGAAUUUGCUUUUUUAUAUGCAUUAAUUUAAAUAUGAAUAGAUUAUUUACAUACUUAUAAUUUAAAUAAUUAUGAUAGAAUAUGAUAAAUGCAUAGGCUUCUAGACGUGAGUUUAGCAGAUUCACAUAUAAUAAUUUAGAAAACUCACCUAAGUUUGCUUAUAAUUUAGUUGCCUAUUGUAAAAUUUUUAAGUCAUAUCUUAAAAAAAUAUUACAAGCAAACAUAGUGUAGCAGAAAAAAAAUUUUUGAUUAGGAGCCAAAUCAUGGUUUGAGGCUCUGAUUUUACCACUUAUCUAUAUAAUUUUAUAUAAGAAGAUUAAGCUCUCUGAACUCCAAUCCCCUCAAAUACAAAAUGAACAAAAUUAUAAACCUUUCUUCACAAGGACUUUUCGAGGUUAAAUUAGACAUUUAAGUACAGUCUUAUAAUAAACAUUGCAGGGAAAGAAAGAUUUCUUUUCCUCACUUAUUACUGGGUUUAUGGUGCAAGCCUCUAUCAUUAAAGGUCAAGAAGAGAAAAACAUACAAACUAAUUUAAUAUACAAGUUUCACAUAUUUAUUUCUUUUAUUUCAUAAGGAAAGAAAGACCUGAAGAAACAGGUAAAGUUUUAUGCUUUUAUGUCUAGAUUUGAUGGAUGAGCUAAGGGUUAUAAAGCGGGGAGAACUAAGUAAGGCCUGGUGGCUUAGGUUUUUGAGUAUCCCUGUUUUUACAGAGAUAAGGAUGUGUGCUUCCUUCAGAACUGCAUGCUUCUCAGCUAUGCGUUAUCCCUCAAGGGGAAAGUUAUACUGCAUGCUUUGGGGGGAAGGGCUAGACUAGAUUAAGAGAAGAAUUCCUGGUCCUUCUGUCUCCUUGAGUGCCAAGUACCAUGUUUUGUGGUACAGUCUCCUGAGCCCCAGCAGGGUCUGCACAGGAGUUAUAGUGAUUAAAAAUUAUUGCCUUUUGUGGUUUUGAUCCAUUAUUUAUAGGAAGCAGAAGAAAAUAAAAGAACAAAACAUGAUCUGGUACUGUCUUGCAGUCUUCUGCUUUCCUAAACUCUGUGUUUACUUUGUCUGGCUUUUCACUUCAAAUGAUUUUUCUAGUGUGGAAAGAAGGAACACAGGGUGGCCUGGCUCAGCUUCUGUUCUAGUCAGUUAUGUUCUAACAUUAAUACCAACUUCCGGCUUCUAGACUAGGAGCAAACAUCACUUUAGUUUUCUGUGUUGUGGAAUACGCCUUGCUUCUCUUAUGUUACCUUUAGCUUUCUUGACUAUGAACGUUAGUCAAGGAAAAACAAUGAAUAUCCAUUGGAUUCUUUUAUAUUACCAAUUAUAAGGAAAGAUGUUCAAUAGAUACUUGCAUUUAAUGUAUAUUACUUGCAUAGGUGAUUGAUUUCGUAUUGAAACCUACCUUAAAAUAUAAGUGGAACAUACACAUACAUAUCCUAUCUCUGUCUCUCUGUCUGCCUAUCUGCCCGCCUGUCUACCUGUAUAUUUUUUUCUUGUUAGUUUAUGGCCUGGAAGAUUUUUAGAAACACAGGUAAAGAGCAAGUCUUUUCCUGUGUGAGUAUUCUGUAUAGUUCUGAGUCUAUAGUGCUGUUUUCUAACUCAAUUUCCUUCUGGCAGCGGUCACCUCCUGGUGAUCAUGAAGGACUGGAAAAAGGGAUGAGUAAAGCUUUUACAGUUCAACUUUCUGUAGGUACAUUUUUUAAAUUAAACUCUUGCUUUGAUUCAGUGUCUGAGUUAGGAAACGGAAGCUCAAAGAGGUAGACAGAUAGGCUUGUAGGAGAUGGUCCUGGAAUGAUCUAGCUUUAUUGCCUUUGUGUGUGUGUGUGUGUGUGUGUGUGUGUGUGUGUGUGUGUGUUGCCCAGGUGAUGGAAUAAAUUGGGGAUAAAGCCUGAAAAGCAAAGACCGAGGCUGUUCCUCUACAACUUCACCUGAAUUGGACUUGACAGAGAUGAGUGGGCCUGAUUUAGAGGAGCAUAUCUCCUCAAUGGCAGUCAGCUGAAAAUUGCUUCCCCUGCCAUAUUAAUUAGCUGAUUCACAUCAAAGCAAACACAUCCUGGGAAUAUCCAUUUCACUGCAACCCUCACCAACUACCAUUUCAUAACUCCAUUCCCGAGUAGCUCGUGAUGAACUCAGUAAGUGAUUUGAGAUAAGCACUUUUGUUUCUAAACGUUAAUCUUUAAUGGUGAGGAAAGAAUCUAUUUUUCUUGGUUUUAGUGACAGGUGAAUAUUAGUACACAGCUGCAUUUGUUCUGUGCAUCAGAGCUUAAAACCACAAAAACAGAAGCUCACUAUUAAGUAGUUAAUUUAUGAAAUCAGAAUUCGUCUUGUUUCCAAAGAACAUUUUAAUAAGAGAACUUCAUUUUGUUGCAUGGCAGGAUGGUGAAUAUAUUAUUUAAAUGUAUUAUAUUCCUGAGUGUGCUUAUCAAUAAAAAUUGUAAUCCAGGGUUUCAAAAUAUAAAAUGAAACAUUCUGAGAUCACAGAUUCUUCUUCUAAAAAGUUGUUUUACUCUAUUAUUUAUUUAUUGACUACUUUUCAGAAAACUUUACAUAGUGUCUUCCCUGUAAGAAAAGAGAUUGAUUGCUAUAUAGGAAACAGUAAAAAAAAUGAAGCUCUGUAAAACAUGUAGAUUUUUAGAAAUUAUCAGAGGGAUGGGAUUAAUAAAUGCUCUACAAAAUAUUGUAAUUCAAAAGCGGUAUGAUCCAUAGUCCAGAGUUGUAUGAUAAGCAAAAGAAAGAGAUGCCCACAUAAUUUCAGCUUUCAGAACUAGUUAUCAGUGAUGAUAUGAUAUGACAUAGUAUGGCUUACAUAUUUGUUAAUGUACAUUCCCUCAUUAAUCCAGUUAUUUUAUGAGUCACACAUAUGCAGAUACUGAGAAGGAAGCCAUAAAUAUACUGGGUGUGAUGUUUGCCCUUAUGGAGAACAUUGUAGCUACUUUUGUAGGACACAGAAAUUAAGUGACUACUACAGAAAAAAAAAAAACAUUUGGGUAAAUUUUUGAGAGUGAUAAUGUUAUUUUUAAUAUAAUCUUUUCUUUAAAAUAUAUGCUUUCUUAUUGUGACUUUUAAAAUUGAGAACAAAAUUAUGUUCCUAUAUAGCACAUGAUUUAGUGUACAUUAUGCUUUAUAUUUUCAAAAAGUAGAACUUAAUAAAAUGAAAUACAUUACUUAUACUUACAAUACUUAAUAAAAUUGGAAAUACAUCAUAUAUAAUAAGAAUACAUUACAGGAAGACAUAAUGUUUUCUUGAGCUACCCUAUAGCUGUAAUGUUGCAGUUGGUUUACAAAUAAAACACACAAUCAAAAACUCUCUAAUAUUACCUUCCACUUGUGUAUAAGGAACUUUGAAAUGAAAUGUGUAGUGAUAUGCUUUGUAUAAGUUAAAUUUCAUCUUAAGCUAAAAUUUAAAUUGUGCACAUGUGUGCCCUUUUUAUUAGUUACGACAUCCUACAUUACUGUAUGCUAACUUUUGGCCUCGUAGAAAAUAAAAAAAAAUCUUUUUUGAAUACAUAGAAUGUAAUUAAUGAUUAAGAAAAUUUAAACACGCUUAAAUUUAAAUAGCUUAUAACAAUAAUCAACUGUCAGAGUAACUUUAAAUUAUUUUGUGCUUUUGAGUAUGAGCAAUUAAAAUUAGGUGUUACUGAUUUAUUAUACCAUUUUCUUUCAAAAGCAAGUUGAUCAAGAGUUCAGGGGAAGAAAUUAUUCUUUUGUAGGCUUGCCUCUUAUAGACUGAUGUGUUAUUACAUUGGGAAUUAGAUGACUUCUUUCACUUUUCUGACUUUAGGUUGUAAACGUAAGAAUUUUGGGUAGUAAGUGAUAUCAUUUUUACUUCCUGAAAAUGAUUUGUUAUCUUUUUUGGAAAAAUUCAGAUUUAAAACUUUUUCUAACAUCAUUUCCACUACCAAUUGGACAGUGGCGCCUAUGUCUUUGUGGUUUUUAAGACCACGUGUUCACAGAAAUUAAUUACUAUUAAUACUAUUCAAAAAUGACAUUAGCAUCUGUCUUGGUUACUUUACUCUCAUUGCUGAGACAAAAUAGUUGAUGCCCAAAAUGAAGGAAGGCAAGGUUUAUUUAGCUCUCAGUGUUUGGAGAUUUCAGUCCAUAGUCAACAGGCUGCAAGGCGGGUGGCACAGCUAAAGAGCAACCCUCAUGGCGGCCACAAGUGACAAGAGCAAAAAGAGCAAAAAGGAAAAAUAUACUUCCUUCUCUCCCUUAUAUUGUAUGCUGGCUCCCUGCCCCUGGGUGGGUGCAUCAGUCACACCACCAAUUCCAGUGCUAGACAAAGAACCAAUCACAAAUGCUAGAUUCAGUCACCUCAAUGGCUGCAUGAGGCUUUGGGGGAACACCUAGGCAGAAACCAUAAGAGAGCCAAAAAUUUUGGAGAUGUAUUUAGUAUCAUUUUUGUUUGUGAAAAAUAAAUAAGAAGUUGGAAAACGUUGUCUUUUAACAGUAAUUUUUUAAAAAAAUUAUUAGUAUGUGUGUGCAAUAUAUUAUGAUCAGAUUCACUGUGGGGAGAUGGCACAUCCCCUUUCCCUCCCUUCUUUUCCUCAUCUCUCCAUCUCUUGGUACGUUUCUCUUUUGCAAGAGAUCCUGUUUCCUCUUGCCAUUUUGCUGUUUAAUUUAUUUAUAUUUUGGGUUUAUAUAAGAGAAUGAGUGGAUUCUUUUUCAUACAAAUGACUCGUGUAUUCCUCUUUAUGGCAGCAUAGUACAUCGUUGUGUACAAAUUCCUUAUCUUCAUUAUUGAUUCAUGUGUUGAUGGACAGAUAGGCUCUUUCCAAGGUGCAACUUCUCAGUUGUAUGCAUAUAUCACUGUGAUAUGUCUUCAAAUAUUUCUAAAAGAUACUAAGAAGGGAAUAGCUGGGUCAGAUGGAAUUUCUAGUUUUAGUUGACAUUGAAAGGUAGAGUAAUUGUUUCUGAACGAUGAUCAGCCAUUCAUUUGUAGAUAACCUGCAAAUUGCCUGGAUUUCUGUGAAGAGAGAAUGAACAAUCUAAUGAUUGUGUUUAAAGGCCAGACCUGCUUUGAAGGAUGUGAACAUUCAGGUGGAUACAGUGCAGACCACGAAAUCCCCUGGCUACAUUGAGGAAUCCUGUAAAAUGAAUGUAUAUGCUCGUAAGUGAAAUACAUGCCAUAUUCCAACUCAAUAUGUUGGAUCCUAAUAGACUUGGAUUUAUCUUGUGUAAAAAGAAAAGGAUUUUCAAGGGGCUGGAUGACUACCUAAUUAAAACAAAGCCCUGAUUUUGAAGGAAACAAAAAUGGCUUUAAAAUAGAUCUUUGCACAAAGGAAUCAAACUAUACUUUGCAAACAAAUGAAAGAAAAUCAAGCUCUCAAUAUGGAAUAAAAGAGGGAUGUGAGAGAGGUUUUGCAAUCUUAUCAAUUACUGUGGAGAAACAGAAUCAGAUAUCACCAUGCUCAGGAGUCUGAAAAGAAGAACAGGACAUCCUUUUUCUUCAGUUUGCACUUGAAUGAACCCAAGCAGAGAUUGGAGAUAUGCACCCUGUUCCUGUUUGUAGUCAAUAAUGUGGUGAUAAAUGUAGAUAUGAUUUUAUUUUCCUUGCUUGAACUUACUGGAUGUAUAUGUAGGAAUCACCUGAGCCUGUGCUAGAUCAACAAAGAAAAUGGAAAUGUAUACCUCAGGACCAAAUCUAAGAAAACUAAACAUUCAGUACUAUCCAAAAAGCACUAAAAAGAAACACUACUGCUGAUCAGGGAGGGUGAGAAACCAGUGGACAUGAGAAGAAAUAAAAUUGAGGCCAUUCUAAUAUGUGUUGAAAUGUAAUUUAUUAUGUUAUAAAAUCAGAAUGAUAGGUCCCAGUAUAUCACCCAGGAAUUUUAUACAAUUUCUGAUUGAAUUUAAGAUUAACCACACAAGUGUUCCAGGAAUGUAUGGCCAUCAUAGCAGUAGGAAACUGGCCUUUUAAAUUUGUGGUCCUAUGCAUUAUGAAUAUAGAGGAGGGCCUUUAUUAUUUUGUUAAUGGUGAAUUGCAUGCAGGAUGUACCUCUUUGCAUUAUAGCUACUUGCUUAGCUGAAGAUGCUGUAUAAAUAGAAAGCAAAAUUUUUGUAUGGAUGUGAAUGUAUGUGUCUGCAUUUGUGUGUGUGUGUGUGUGUGUGUGUGUGUGUGUGUGUGUGUGUGUAAGUGAAAGGUGGUAAAAUUUAAUGCACUUUGGUUUGUUACCUAGAAUGUAAAGAGGUUGAGUAAACUGUCUUAAGCCAUUUCAUCUCUGUUAUUAUUAAAGAUUAUUAUUCACAAAGGAAGCAAUUCUAAAAUAGAAUGACUGCUGCAAAAAUAUUCCAAUUAAAUAUAAUAUUUAAUGCAAUUGAGCCUUUUAAAUUAAGAUGGUACCCGUGUCUGAAAAUAAUGAGAGCAGGCUCAUGAAAUCAGUGUACAGACAGUUGAAAAGUCGUAUUAUCAUCUGUCAGCCUGCUUUGCUUAAUGAAAAGAUGUGAAUGAAUCUUGGAUGCUGUUAUAGAUGAGCUGGGGAAGUAUCUAUUUUUUAACUAACAUUUUGGUCCUACCAACAAGUAACAUGUGUUCUCCCAAACUUUUAUUUAAUAUAAAUUAUAUAGCAAGAAAAUCAUAUGUUAUUGAGAUAAGAUAGUGAAUAUUUGAAACAGAUUGAACUAUUUUUUGUAGUCACCAUGUGCCAUAAUAAUUUUGAAACUGUUGUUCUCUGAUAUUUGUAAUGAUUUCUUUUUUAAUUAGCUUUAUAGUUGAAAUUUUUACCUCUUCUUCUAUGUGACAAUCAAUUGCAGUUGGUAUCCUAUCUAUAAUAUUACAGGGAUUUUUGUCUUUAUUCAUGCUGGUAUUAUAAACAAUGUCUAUAAACUGUAUGAUUCUAUUGUAUUGAAUAUUUUCUGUGAUCAAAAUAAUAAAACUAUAAGAAGGCUAUAUUUCCUACUUUAAUAGUCUCUUCAACUAUGAUGAGAUGUAACAUGUGUUUACAUUGCUUGUCUUUAGACUAUAUCCUCUUUAUUUCCAAGUUGAGAACAAGAGCAUAGAUAAUACAAUAAGAGAAAAGGGUUGAUGGAGAAAUUUGAGAGAGUCUAAAAACAAUGCCUGACAGGUUACUUAACAACCAGACCUGAGGGACACAUUUGAAGUUUUUGGGUACACAGACCUCAAGGGAGUUUUGGAUUUAGCUUUCAAUUUUAAGGUAUUUUCAAUUAAGUUCUAAGGCAUUGGUACAUUAGAAAUACUACAAAAUGUUAUCUAACAUUAAUUGCAUUAAUAAUCAAUUCUGAUUAACAAUGUUAAGAAAAUCAUGUGUCGCUUCCAGCUAACUUGACCCAAAGCACAAUCCAUGCGGUAACACUAAGGGAGACUAUGAGUUCACAGUUAUUACUUCUGUGCUCUUCAUUUACCCUAACGGAAAUAUAUACCCAGGCAUAAACAAUCAUGUUCUAGGGAAUUUGUAGAUCCCCCUAAGUUAAAUGAAACAAGCAGCAUGAAACUACAAAAUCGUUCUGUUUGCAAAAGAGAAAACAUUUUUGUUCUCCUUUGGUAUUCCCUGUCAGAAUAUGAAAUAAGAGAACCAGUUUUUCUUGUUCUUUCCCCUCCCCCGAGGAUUGAUCAGCACAUGAAGGUCUCCAUAACUUCAAAGACAUUUCUGGACUUGGAUCAGCUCAGUUGAGUUCAGAGGAGAAGCAAACACUAGCCCCUGAUGUUUGUGCUGUAGGCUCUUUCAUCUAAUGGUAAUUCCGUGCUUAGGAGAAGCAACAGGCAGAGAAGUGUUGUGACUGUUAUAAUUUCACGAUUAAUGUUUAGUCUCAAAGUACCUGACACAAAAAAUGGCAUUUCUAUUUUAGUUUCCUGCUACUACUCCAACCAUUGAAUGCCAGGAAAACCGUCAGAAGCAAAAUGAAAACACAUAUAUACAUAUUUAAAUAUAUGAGUACAUAUAUAAAACAUUCACAUAAAUAAAUGUACAUAUAUAUGUUAUAUAUAUAGGGUAUAUAAUAAAUGCGUAUGUAUAUACAUUUGUUUCAGCAUAGUGACUUGCAAAUUAUUGUCAGUUUCACAGUUUCCCAGGUAGUGUGCAUAAUCAUCAGGGGUUCUUAUUUAGAAAAUUGAUCACAAUGAACAUUUUUAUUUAAUUAAAUUUACAGUCACUUAAAGAACUAAUUUAGAAUAUAAAGUCUAAAUUUGUCACAUCCAUUUUUGACUUUACAAGAUCAGAUGCUUACAUGGCAUAGUUGGAGACAGCCUUUCCCACGCUCCACUAUUCUAAAAAUCUUCUACACUUUCUUCUUGCCUCUAUUUGUGACUAACCCUGGGUCAAGAAAAGAUAGCUAUUGAAAGUAUUGAAGCAACUGGGAAUGAGAAUUGCCAAUUGAAAAGCCGUGUUCAGAAUCUAUCCUUAGAUUUUCAUCAGAAGGAACUUGUUAAGAAAAUAUAAAAUACAUUAUAAAACAUUUUGAGGAUUAAGACAUUUGCUUUGAAUUGUAGCUAUUAUUUUGACUGCUAUUAUUUUGCUUCCCAGUUUUGAUCAAUAUGAAUGAGUUGAACUAUUGUUAGUAUUUCUCUCACUUUUUAAACUGAUGUUACUGAGAGUCAGCUCUAUGUAGGCAAUAAUUGAGUCGCUUGAUUCAAUAUUCUUAUCAUCCUCAUGAAGCAGGUAUCACUAUUGUCAUGAUACCCAUCUUACAUGUGAGGAAAUGAAGCACAGCGUUUCAGUACCUAUUAGCCAGAGGUGGAACUGGGCUUUGAACUCCUCCCAGUCUCCUCCUAGAAGUCACACUCAACACAGAGCUAUCCAGCUUUGAUGACAAACAUCAAUAUAAAUGGCAAUACAAGUUAGGUUCUGAAAUUGUUUGGGGAAAGAGGGAUGAAUUAUUUGUUCUUUCGGUCACGCAUCAGCAAGCUGAUCAAAAUGUUACCAACCUUCCUGACUUAGAUGUGCAGAUAUUCAAAGGAUCUAGCACAUAGAUGUAUUGCAUAAAAUGGAAGCUGGUGUAAAAGUUGACUUUAAAUAUUGUAGACAGGAAAAAAGAAAAACUAUUCUUCAAUUCACUUGGUUUGUGGGUUCAACAAAUAUUAUAAAUAUGUAUAGUAAUUUCAUUGAAAAUGGAGAUUUUACUGCUAGAAUCGAAGAGGACGGAAGGAAAUAGCAACUGACAAGGAGAGUUUAUAAGCUAGUUAAGACACAAGUGCAAGGUGUUCCAAAGUCACAUGCCUCAGUUAGCAGGAAAACAGGAAAUAAGAGUACAGUGUUUGGGAGCCAGGCUGCUUGGGUUUGAACUGUAAUUCACACAUUCACAAAAUGGUGACCUUGGGACAAAUUGCAUCUUCCUGAAUCCAUUUCUUCAUAUGUAAUAUAAAGUUAAUUGCAGAGUCAAAUUCACAGUUUAGCUGUGAUCAUUAAAUGAAAUUAAUGCAAUCAGUGUGUGGCUGGCAUAAGAAGAAUCCAAUAAAUGUUGGCCAUUAUCAAUUUUUUAUUGUUUAUAACGGACAUAAGGACCGGGUAGAGUGGUUGCUGGCAGAUAUUCAUGGCAUCAGACAGACCAGUGUCACUGUCGCAAGGUGAAUUGAAAACACUUAUGGAAAUGGGAAAAUCAAAUUUUCAUUAUUAUCCAUACAUUAUGGUUUAAAACUCAGAAGCUUGGACAGAUACAGGUUCUCUGGGAAAUUUCUUCAGGCUCUGAUUUGCUGUAAUACAUUUUUUUUUUUUGUUAAAUUCCCAUGGAAAUUAAGGAUAAUGUUGAUUAUGGUGAUCAGUGAAAAAACGAGUGGUUGUUAUUAUUGACAAAUAUUUAAUAAUUGUUUAUAGUAUCAGAUGAGACUUUAUUUUCAAACGCAUUAAGGAUCAAAUAUGCUUUGGAUCUUAGAUGAUAUGGUCUUUUUUUUUUUUUUUUUUUUUUUUUUGUCUUUUUCGUUUUUAUCGGUACCAGGGAUCAAACUCAUGGCUGCCUGCUUGCCAGGCAGGCGCUUAUGCCGCUGAGCUAAAUCCCCAGCCCCUGAUGAUAUGGUCUUAAUUGUAUGAAAUGGAACCAAAGCAAAGGUUUGCUGAGUUAAAUUAACAUUUAGUAUCUGAAAAGUCAGUGAUUUUUAUUUGAAACAUAGUGAUUAGCUAGCAUGUAUACUAGCAAGGGUAAAACAAACCACAGUUGCCAUCAGUUUUGCCUAUUUGAAACCACUGUUAAAACAUUAUAUAUUAAUUAACACUUCUGGAUUGAAAAUAGGGUCCUCAUAUAUAGUUCUGUGGCUUUGGUAAUUCAUAAUCUUCUGGUUCAAAUUCAUAUCUCAGCUUAGCACUAAACAUCUAAGAAAUGCAAAAUCAACUUCAGAAUUUUGUUAGCCCACUAAUUUCAUUUACAUUUAUUUUUUAAUGAAAAAUCUGAGUACUCUAUUUUUAUUGUUAAUACCACCGAAUAGCUUAUCUUUAUGCUGAUUUUAUGUGGAUUCCUACUGAAAAGUUAAAAUUCAUGUGAUUAAAAAUGAAUAUCGUCCAGCUUAUAUCCUGUUCGGGAAAGGACGGUCAUUUCCUAUUUUAAAAGACUGGAGCUGUGAAAUCAGGUACAGCUCAUCUUGUUCUCUGUUACUGCUCAAUUGUGUCUGUGAAAAUUCUGUCUCAGCAGGAGCUGAGGGGGAUCCAGGUCUUUAAUCUUUCUGUUCUCUGUAACUGGAGGGUCAACAAGUUAUUUUCCCCCCUCUUAUUUAUUCAGGCUCAUGAAAGAACCAGACAUUCGGUAUGUGCAUUCCAGAAAGAUCAGAAGGUGGCUGCCUCCUGAUAAUGUACUACGAAUGGGCUGAGUGCCAAUGUGAUAACUUUUUUUGGUUUACUUAAAAAAACUUGUGUAUUUAUUAAAUAAAAAUUUAUGUCAGUUUGAACCCAAAAUUGGGUUGAAAAUCUGAUAGUGAGUUAUAUAACUGAGUAAAUUAUGUGUUAUAGAAAGACAUUGUUAUUACUCAGGAUACAGAGAAAUUUUUCAUGUAGGUCUUUUUUAUAAUUUUUUUGAAGAAUAGACACUUAAAUGUGUCGCUAUUUAGUGUGAAACGCUCCUGAAGUGUUUGUGAGGCAGACUUCCAGUUAUUCUGACUUUACAGAUUGUGUUCAAAUGAAUACCAUGGGCUCUAAAAACACAGGAGCUUUUAUUUUUAAUUCCCCAUUUUUAAUGGUAACCAAAAAUGUAAUCUGUGUCUUACACUGGGCUGAGUAAUCAUGUGGUCUUGUCAGCUGAGAUUAACAUUUGGAUUAAAAAGCAUGAUUACACGAUUCUAAAUUAGUGGUUACCAAAUGGAAGUGACACAUACACACAGAAAACAAAGAAGUACAGCCGUCCAUUUCAUGCAAUAUUUCUUAGACCAGUUAAUUAGUUCUUUAAUUAACAUGAUGUUUCAGGUAGUGAUCUAAGCCAUUGGUGCUCCCAGUAGGUUUAAUAAAGAAGUUAAAAAAAAAAAAAAAAAGACAGUUUUAGAACUGUUGAUGGCUAUGUCAUAUGUCACCAGAGUGAGGAGCAACUCUUUAUUUUAAAAGAAGAGAAUGUACAUAUGGAAAUUUUUUGAAUCCAGAGCAGAUAGUUUAAAAAUUCCUUCCAGAAAUUAAAAGCAUACCCCAUAACUAUUGUGCAAUAGAAUUAAAUGAACUAUAUUUUGAAUCUCAAGUGACCAUUGGUGCCUAAAAAAUUCACUUAGAUUUUUAAACAAAAGUAUCUUUUACUAUUUUGGGAGCAAACAUCAAAUAUAUGAAUGCGGGUAAUUAUAUUUUUGAAUAUAUAAUGUAAUUCAUAGAAUUCUAUUAAGAGCCAUUGAAAUGACUUACAAAGGAUAUCAUUCUGGAGAAUCACAAUAGAACUCUGCCUUUGGAUAGGCCUAAGGCGGGGAAAAUGUGUCCUAGAGCUAAUUUCUCAUGCGCAUGACAUGAAAGCAUUCUUCCAUCCCCUCUCCCUUCCCCAUCGAGAACAUAUUCAUAUUAUACAUGCCGUCUUUAUUACAUGGCAUGCAUGCUUUGGCUGGGCCAAAGAGAUCAUCUGCCAGAAGAUGGGUUCUUCCUUUUCAAAACAGCGUAACAGCUGGGCAGUAUAAUUGUGUAUAUUAAGCUAUGAAAUGUUGCACACAGUUUGGAGAUGUGUUUUCAUUUUACACUUCUCUCAAUUGAAAACAGACAAAGAAUAAAUUACUUUAAGUCUCUAACUAAUAUCUAAUUCUGCAGAGAUCGCUUUCACUGUCACUAGAUGCUGUUGGCUUCUCCUUCUAUGAUUGUGUAAUUAAGCUAUGACUUUACUUUGAGUCUGUGUCAUGUAGGAGGUACACAGAGGACUCUUUUUUUCUCUCACAAUUGUUCCACAGCUUUUAUCAGUUAUUGUAUAGAUGCAAUUAGAAAUGUUACUGGGGUUAUUAUGUAACUUAAUGAUAAUUAGUUGUACAAAGAACUACUUAUUUGAGGAACCCAAAUUCAUAUUUAUGUAAAACUCUGUAAGAACAAAGUCAUUUAUAUUUUCCUGUCUUUUCUUUAUGAAAUAUGUUCGUUCAAAAGGUUACAUUUUUGUUUAUAGGGAAUUUUUGAUAAUGACAUAAUAAGUAUAUCAGUAUAAUGGAUUUUUAAUUGGUGUCAUGUAAUUAGUUGGAAGUUCCAUUUCCUGAAAUGAAGAUAAAUGUGAAAUUCUGAUAUAAAAAUUGCUUAGCAAGCAUUUAUUUUGAGACAAACACAAAGAAAUUUAUAUUUAAAUUCUUUUUAGUUUUAUGCUGUUAAGUUUUGGUCCAGUGUUACUGGACAGUGACUUGAUAUGAGAGUGAUUUUUCGAUUUGCAUUUGUUCACUGUCCACAGGACUUAAAUUACUGUGUCUUGUCCUUCCUUGACAGUCUUUUGGAAGUACAGAAUUGAAAGAUGCAUACUUGCUAAAAGAUGAAGUGUUUGGUGCAUGAGUUAUGAAUCAGUCUGAAUAAUAUUGGCCAAUAAUAUUGGCCAAGUUUCUUAAUUUCUCUUGCUUAAAUGAACUAUAGCACACUGUUAUAACAUUAUUAGGAAGCAUGGUUCUGGUAAUGUAUCAUGUGUAAAUUAGCGUACAACCCUGAUAUAAAGUGAGCAAUUGUAAAUAAUAGCUGUUAUUAAAGAAAGAUUUGGAAAUGUGACAUAGGUCACAGAACUACUGUCUAGUGGAGCUACGCUUUCAGAAAGCAAUACACAACAGUGCCUGUCAUACUGUAAGUGCCUCUAAGUGACAUCAGCUAUUAAACACAAGCACCUAUGUUUUCCAAAGUUCUUACAUUGAUUAUAAGCGUGGCUUGAAUUUGAAAUACAGAUAUGUCCAUCUUAAAAAUAUUAAUUUUCUUCAAUGUUUUAAGUCUUGAAAUGAUUUGUUGGAGUAGCCUUUACAGCCUUGACACUGAGCUUGCUGUUUUGCAUGACUUUGGAAAAGGCAUGUUUUGAAAUUGUUUAGAGCAUGCAUAUAAGAAGUGCUAAUGUAUGUACAUUAGAAUGUAAUAAAAAUGAUCAGUGAUCAACUCA